rnacentral:lncRNA from 1 species
GGACAUGGUAUGUAUCAAUGAAUGAUGCAUCAGAUAUCUAGGUGACACAUUCUGUCACUGGGUUUGCAUAUUAAGCACACCAAAAGUGGUUUUUACAUGCAAUAGUUCAGUCUCAUGCCGACUGGAAUGACACUAGGGAAAGAGGCACACAAAGUCGAUGAAGGGUUAACGAGGGUUUACAAAUACAACAAUUCAGAUUGGAACAAAUGGAUUCAACUUUUCAAAUUAGUAGAUACUUAUUCAGAUAUCAUUGAUGAAAAUAAUAGUUCUAAAUUAAGUUAAAUCCAUCUAUAUGCAUGUUUCCUAGAUGUAUGUGAAGCCUAAAAGAUGCUAUUUCCAAAACAUGAUAUGGGAGCUUAAUUCCCUUUUUCUGAAUUAUGUUAUCCUUUCAGUUAAAUUUUACUUCGCCGAAAACGAAGACUAAAUUUGAAGAAUUUCAAGUGAAACAGAGAAAAUGAGCUAGUAUAUAAGGGAACUUACAAGAGUGUUAACCUUCCCGACAACUUUGUCACCAGGUUUGAAUUUUUUUACUCCAGGUCCUACCUUUACAACCUCUCCUGCCACAUCAAUACCUGUUCCGAGUUCCACCAAUGAAUAUCUUCAGUUAAUAAAACGACUUCUCACAAAAUGCGGUCCUGUGAAAACUUCUACAUAAAACAUGUUAAGAAAUGCAUCCCACCCUUUCCCUUUGAAGAACUCGAAAAACUAUGCUAUAAUAUCGAUGUUUACGUAAGAAUCUCUCCCCGGAAAACACACAAAUUCCACUCCAGAAGUUUAUUAGAUGAAAUGAACAAGAAACAGGUGUUUAAGCAUUUAUCGAACAUUCGUACUACUUUUCAAGAAGAAGAUCAAAUAAUACAUGGAAUGAAGCAUAAUUACGUAAAGAGUUAUAAACACAAAAUGGAUCCCCUAAGUAGCAGCGUCUCAAGGCAGCCAAACCAAAUUACCAGGUAUGUACGGAAACCUGCGAGGCAACAAAGGCCAGAGCAUGCCUUUCUGAGCUUUCCAAUCAAUUGCGUUUAGACUAGUUGCCUCCAAUUUCAGCAACACCUCAUCUUUUUUCGGAUUUGGAAUCGGAACUUCAACAUGCUGCAAUAAAGGCCAAUGUCAUGACAAGAAUGUGUUCUGCAAAGUUCUUCAAAGCAACAAAGUAUCCACAUAAUAGACCAACAACUUUGUUUAACAUUUCAUAAGCAUAUACAAAUGGUAAUUUUCUCGAUAACAAAACCUAGUAACUGAGUAAAUCCCUGUUACUAUUUCUUUCAUCAUGUGAUUCAGAUAAAAACAAUAAAAGUAAAAGAUAAAACCUCUUCCUUUAUCCUUUCCUUCCCAACAUCGCAAUGACUCAAUCAAGUACUCGUAUUCCAAGUGGGAUUGCAGUUAUUAAACUGAAAAUAUGACUUCACCCCUAGAACAUAGAUUUUUUAUGUAAAACCCGACAUAAUUGUUUUACUUGAUUAAACCCCAAUAAUUAGGAUCCCCAUAAGCAUAUUCCUUAAUUAAGCUUGAAUACAAAUAUUUUACAUGUUUCCAAUGGCUAUAUUAUCCCUAAUAACAAUUGGAUUUAGACAUUUCUUUUCCUAUUCUAUAUUAUCCCUAAAUGGGUACAUUAAUGAUAUAUAAAUAGACAAACAUUAUGAAACUCAUUGAAGGCGCAAAACAAGGAGUAAAUCUUUGAUAUUGACAUGAUUGGAGAAUACUUGCAAUUUUGUAAAAUGAUUGCAACUCAUAUUAAAUUUUGGAUUUUAUUUAGAGGUUAAGAAGUGCACGGGUAUUGAACUCCCGGAAGAAAAAAAGAAAAAAUACAGGUGAGUUUACGUUUAUGAAAUAAGAGUUACAAGUCUAUAAACAACCUUUAAACCAGAAGUUCCGCCGCCAUAGUUGUCGUACUGAACAGCGUGCAUGGUCUCAUUGGCCAUAGUCUCUCAGUUGUAAGUCCAACCAACGUUCCGAAGAGCCGCAGAAACUUGAAGCUCCUCCCUCCCGGAUUCUAUCAAAUACAGAGCUUAUGCUAGUACAGCAAUAGACUCAUUAGCCCAUGUCUAUAGUGGAACAAAUAUACGCGUGAUUGAUUGAUGUUCACUGAUUGACCCUUGUCUAUUGUGGAACAAAGACACGGGAUUCAUGGGCUAUAGUGGAACAAAUAAUACGCGUUAUUCAUAAUGAUGUUGACUGAUUGACCCUUGUCUGUCGUGGAACAAAUACACGUGAUUCAUAUUGAUGUAGACAGUACAAUCAGUAUAUGGUUUACAGUACGUAUGUGGUCCACAUGUUAAAUAGACGAUCAAUAAUUACAUGGUCCCUAUGUUAAAUAGACAACACGUAAGUGGUCCAUAUGUUAAAUAUACAAUAAGUGUAUGCAGUAGCAGAACCGGGAAGAGAUGGGAAAUUCAAAAUAAUGCAAGAUUCAAUCGAAGUGGUUGCUUUUAUAUUGGAGAGUGUAAAGUUUUGAGUCAAUAUUCAUAGUAGAAAAUAGUCUCUCCACUAAAACGGUUGUAAACGGUAAUAUCAAAACCAAUGUAAUAAGCUUAAAUUGGCUAGGUUUAUAUUCUAAAAAUAGACGCUAGUCAAACAGCGGACUGGAACUUAGUAGCUAGGCGCCUAAGACAGAUCUAGGCAUGAGCCUAGUGGGAUUUAAACGAAUUUCUUUUAUCAUAAAAUAAGCAUUAAGUUGUAGGCCUAUUUGAUUGAACGAUCUAGGGUUUAGAAAGAGAGAAGGAGCCGACUAUAUUAGGAGAAGAGAGAGUGAUUUAAUCGUGAGGUGUGUUUGAUUCACACAAUUGUGCCUUUAUUUAUAGUAGUAGGAUAGGUAAAAACAUUUUCCUUUAGGAUUACAAUAUUUAAUAGGUAAUCAACCCCUGAUAUAAAUAUAAGAUACAUUCCCAGAUUCCCUAAGAUUUACACAAUCACAUUCCUAUUCUAAAUAUGACUGCAACACUUUCCCUUGUAGCUAACGGGGGGAAUACGUCUCCUCGUAAUCACUCCCAAGGCGCUGAGAGAAGCCUUGCACUACGAGGUGUGCUUUGUAUCGUACUAUUUCAUUCUUCUCAUUACGCUUCCUCACGAAAACCCACUUAUAGCCAACGGGUUUCACGAGUUGUGGUGUAGGAACGAUAGGUCCAAAUACCUUACGUUUCGCGAGCGAAUCGAGUUCAACCUGGAUUACUUGUUUCCAGUUUGACCAAUCAGUUCUACGUCGGCAUUCAUCCAUCGACGGAACGUGGUUCAAUGUCAUCACUAAGCAUGAUGUUAGUAGCUACUGAAUACGCGAAUGCAUCGUCGACGAUCAUUUCAUUCCUAUUCCAAACCUUAUCUAAUAUUGCGUAAUGGACCGAAAUCUCGUGAUUCUCAAGAGGCCGGCAUGUUUCGUCUGAAGCAUCGCCGUAAUCUAGAAUAACCUCAUGCGUUGGAUCAGAUGAGUGAGCGAUGGUCGGAUUCAAACUAGGGUCACUAGUUGGUGCCAUUUUCCUCUUCCAAGGUUGUGAAUCCUUUGAACCAAGGGGUCUGCCACGCUUCAGGAUAGAAGCAAAUGAUUGGCUAGCUGCCAAUGUACCGUACCGCGUGGAAGGUGCGGCCUCCCUACCUUCGGGGACGGUCCGGCCUUCCCAGGCAGGUUGUUGACGUACACAGGGUACAUCUAUCCUUGCAGGUAUGUUUGCAGCGAGUAUAUGUGAUAUUGUCACCUUUGCUAGAUCAUUAAAAGCAUCCAGCAUACUUUGAGCAAUGCUCUGAAAAUCUAUAAUUCGUCGCACCUCAAUUUCAGAUUGGGCAGUGCGGGGAUCUAAAUGAGACAUAGUGGGAGCAUACCACGACAAUUUGUGGCGUUCUACGAGAACGUUAGCAUGCUUAUCUCCCCCUAAUGACCGGAAGACUGUCUCAUCAAAGUGACAAUUUGCAAAACAUGUGGUAAAGAGAUCUCUUGUCAAUGGUUCAAUGUCAUCACUAAUCAUAACCGACAUAGAUUCCCAUUUUUCUCUGAGGACCCAUUUUGGUACGUAGUGACGGUGCUAUUGGCACAUAAAUGGCGCACCCAAACACCUAUAAAUGCAAGACGUCAGGCUCGUAUCCAGUGACCAACUGUAACAGUGAAUAUGGUUGAGUAGCGGUGGGCCUUAGGCGGAUCAACAUAGCUACGUGCAAUAUUGCAUAGCCCCAGGCAGAUACUAGCAGUUUGGUUCUCAUAACCAAAAUCUGAGAUAUCAAUUAAAUGCGCUUUAUGAAAGCUUAUGCCAGGCCGUUUUGGAUGUGAACAUACGGUACAGGAUGUUCCACAUCAAUCCCUAAUGACAUGCAAUAAUCGUCAAACAUCUGUGACAUAAACUCUCUAAUGUUAUCCAGUCGAAUCAACUUAAUCGGAUAAUCAGGGUGGUGAGCCCUUAGCUUAAUGAUUUGAGCUAGGAGUUUAGCAAACGCGGUGUUGCGUGUGGACAACAAGCAAACAUGUGACCAUCUUGUCGAUGCAUCAACCAACACCAUAAAUUAUCUAAAUGGUCCACAUGUUGGUUGGAUAUGUCCACAAAUGUCCCCUUGAAUCCUCUAAAGAAACUUAGGGAGGUCGUGAAUAAUCCUUUUGUAUAUAAGGGUUAAGUAUUUAACUUCCCUAAAGAGCACGCUUUGCAUGGCGGGAGUCCAGCAUAUGGAUGUAACUUAUGCCCCGUGUGCAGAUUUGAGGAUACGGCACAUCAUAUCACAUCCAGGAUGUCCCAAACGGUCAUGUCAAAGCAACAAAGUGUCCUAGAACUCAGGCAUAAGGCCGGCCACACUGUGGGCUUCUAUGCUGGGAAUGGUUAUGAUGUACAAUCCACUCGGCAGACGUUUCAACUUCUCGUAAAUAUGCUUCUGGCCAUAUUCGUAUGAAGUGAUACAUAGAAAUUCAGAACCAUUAUCUUCUGUGGUUUCAAGAUGAUAUUGAUUAUCUCGAAUAUCUCUAAAACUCAGCAACGUUCUUCCGGAACGUGGAGAAUAAAGUGCCUUGUUAAUGUUCAAGAUUGUACCAUUAGAUAACAUGAUACGUGCCUUUCCGUAUCCUGCAAUCAGGUUGGAUGAGCUUGAGAGAGUUGUAAAAUGAGCUUUCUUGGGUAUUAAGUUAGUAAAAUAAUGUCGUUCACGCAAGAUGGUGUGUGUGGUUGCACUAUCUGCCAGACAACUAACUUCCCCACUAGACAUACAUAGAAAUAAAUUGAUUAAAUUGGUCACAUGCAUAAAUAUAAGUCCAUUCAUUCAAUUAACCAAUUCGAGAAAAUAAUAUCCAUUCCAAUAACAAUCCCUAAUUCAAAACAAACCAAAACCAAACAAAUUAUUCCAAAUACUUAGAAAAAUUGUUCAAAAUUAAACCAUAAAUCUAGAAAAAUAGGGGGGGUAUGGCCAGCCACUCCUAUUGGGUUCGGCCUUUAGGGGUAAACACCCUAAAAACAUGUCUAAUUUAUUCAUCCAUAAGCGUUGACGCCUCCUGAAAAUCCGAAAUGUCCAUUGAUGUAGUUGCAUCUUCCGGAUGAUCCACAUGUGCAAAGUUAGACUCAUAACUGGAAUGAUACUUGGCAAUAGCCUCAGGGGAAGCUUGACAUAAUAGUGACCAAUGAUCAUUUGAUCCACAAUGAUAGCACAUGUCCAGUUCAGCAGAAGCAGGCUGAACGGGAGCUUUGCCCUUAUUCUUGAAGUUUAUGGCCUUAGGGGAGAGUGGUUGACGCUGCUGGGUUACAUUUCUUCCCUUAGAUGUGGCACUUUGUUGACCUUGGGCUUGUGGUUGGGUUUGCCACCCAUUGCCACAGCUACGAUGAUUCUUUCGUCAUUUAUGGCUACUAGAAUAGGUCGCAUGCGCUUCAGCUUAGGCGUUCGAGCCAAUUGAUCGAGCUUGAUGAUUCUUCAUCAAAAGCUUGGUCUGCUUUUCAGCGAUAAGUAAAACAGAGAUCAAAUCCAAAAACUUGGUGAAUUUAUGUGCCCUAUAUUUUUGCUGCAGGACAAUAUUGGUGGCAUGGAAGGUGGAAUAAGUAUUCUCCAGAAGAUCUGAUUCGGUUAGUUCCACUUUGCAGAAUUUCAACAGUGAACGGAUUCUACAAACUUCAGAGUUGUAUUCAUUCACAUACUUAAAGUCCUGGAAGUGAAGAUGUUGCUAGUCGUGUCUUACUUCAGUAUGUCUUUCUGGCGAUCAAAACGGUCGGCCAGAGCAAGCCAAAGGGUGCGUUGGUCCUCCUCAGCGAGAUACUCAGUCUGCAGUGCAUCAUGGAUGUGCCUUCGAAUGAAGAUCAUUGUAGAAGCCUUCUAAGCUUUGUCAACAGGUUUGUCGGUGGUAGGUGCCUCGAUGGUGGCUCUGAUGCCCUUUGCAGUCAGAUGGAACUUCAUGUCUUGAACCCACUUCAGAUAGUUUCUUCCAGAAAAUUCUAGAGCAGAGAAAUCGAGCUUGUUUAAGUUCCACAUGUCCCUAAAACAGAAGGAAAAACGUGAGUAGUCAUAUGGUAAGCUAUAAACAUAUAUCGUAAAACAUACAGGUUCUAUAGGCAUGUACUGGUUUAAUUGAUGCAUGAAAACUACAGGUUUCAUGUGGUAUGUUUUGAAUAAAAACUGCGGGUUUCAAAGGUACUAAAUUUGAAAUUACAAGUUCAAUUUAGUUUUAUGAACAAUUAGUUCAUAAUGAGAUGUUCCUGCAAGAAACACAGAAUGCAAUAUACUAAUUUGAAUAUAGUGGAUUUGAGGUUCUUCGAGAACUCAAGUGUGAGAGCGUCGUUACUACGAAAGUAUGUGAUGGUUCAAAGUAAAAAAAUAAAUUAUUGAAUCGUUAAUGUCCAAAAGUGAUCUUUAGGUCAAUAAUUUUGGAUUCAUUAUUAUAUUAAUGGACUGCAUGACUCAAUCAAGUACUCGUAAUCCAAGUGGGAUUGCAGUUAUUAAAUUGAAAAUAUGACUUCACCCCUGGAACAUAUAUUUUUCAUCUAAAACCCGACAUAAUUGUUUUACUUGAUUAAAACCCAGUGAUUAGGAUCCCCAUAAGCAUAUUCCUUAAUGAGCUUGAAUUCAAAUAUUUUACAUGUUUCCAAUGGCUAAAUUAUCCCUAACAAUAUAUCAAGUUUUUUUUUUUUAACAAACAAUAUUUUUUACACUAAAGGAGGGGUGAACUUAGCCUCAUAAUGAGCUAGCAAUAAUGAGGUCUAAAUUUGCCUUUGGCGAAAAUUGAAGGUAAGACCUCUCUCUUUAACAAUUGUUCUUGCUUCUUAUUUUUUGUUUGAAAUUGAUUUAUUAUAUGCCACUAGGUAAAUUUGUGCUUGUAAAUAUAGAUAAAUUAGUGUAAAUAUAGGUAAAUUAGUGUAUUUCUUAUGUGAUGUCAUAAAAUAAUGUAUCUAUUCUUUUCUCACCCUUUAGUUGUAAUACUUCGUUGUAUGAAAAUAAUGUGCUUAUAUUGUGUCGGUAGGUAAUUAUUGCACAUGAAAAUGCAGGUAAAUAACUUAUAUAUACCAUAUAAGUAAAUUAGUGAAUCAACAAAUUCUAAAUGGGUACAUUAAUGAUAUAUAAAUAGACAAAACAUUAUGAAACUCAUUGAAGGCGCAAAACAAGGAGUAAAUCAUCCAUAUUGACAUGAUUGGAGAAUACUUGCAAUUUUGUAAAAUAAUUGCAGUAAUCGGUCAACUAUUUCUCUAGCUUGCAACUCAUAUUAAAUUUUGGGUUUUAUUUAGAGGUUAAGAAGUGCACGGGUAUAUUGAACUCCCGAAAAAAAAAAAAAAAAAAAAAAAACAAACAAACAGGUGAGUUUACGUUUAUGAAAUAAGAGUUACAAGUCUAUAAACAACCUUUAAACCAGAAGUUCCGCCGCCAUAGUUGUCGUACUGAACCUCGUGCAUGGUCUCAUUGGCCAUAGUCUCUCAGUUGUAAGUCCAACCAACAUUCCGAAGAGCCGCAGAAACUUGAAGCUCCUCCCUCCCGGAUUCUAAGAAAUACAGAGCUUAUGCUAGUACAGCAAUAGACCCAUUAGCCCAUAUCUAUUGGGGAACAAACUGAUACGAGUGAUUCAUAAUGAUGUUGACUGAUUAACCCUUGUCUAUUGUGGAACAAAUACACGUGAUUCAUAUUGAUUUAGACACUACACUGAGUAUAUGGUCCCCCCGCUAAAUGUACAGUACGUAUGUGGUCCAUAUGUCAAAAAGACGAUACAAUAAGUCCCCAUGUUAAAUGUACAGUACGUAUGUGGUCCAUAUUAGAUCUGACAUUUGUGUCCUGUUUUUCGUAUUCGUGUCAGUUUCAUGUCAUACCUGAUAUCUUAACGGAUCGUGUCGUGUAAUACCCGUUAAAAUAAACGGGUAAAAUAAUCCGACCCGAAAUCAACCCGAUAAUAUAAACAGGUAAUAUGACCCGACCUGUUACCUAUUAAGGAAAAUAUAUUUUAAACCAAUAAAUAAUCAAAUGAAAAACAUAAUACUCAAUAAGUAUAUACAUAUCUUAUUGUCACAUCCAAAACAUAAAAACGUAUUUUUCUUUUAAGUAUAUUUUCACUUACCUAAAGUCUUUAAUAGUUUUUUAAUUAAUGUAGAAGGGUAAAAAAAUAUAAAAAAUAUAUAUAAACGCUCAUAAUGACAAGCUUUACAACUUUCAUGAAUAGCUUAACUUUGAAAUUCGCCAUUAUAAUCAUAUAAAUCAUAGAUCAAAAUUUAACUGUUGAUUGUUGUUUACAUUUACGCUUCAUUGUUCUCAUCAAAAUUUUUUUUUCUUCAGAUUUUCUUUUUUGAAAACUUGAUCUAUUAGAGGAUGCAGAAAGAUAAACUGUUUGGAUCGUUGAUAUUAUAUUUAGAGUUUCACGGUUAGUGAAAAUAUUGCUUGAUGUUUAUAAAGUUUCUACAAACUAUAUGACAUCGACUCAUAUUUCAGUUAACCGUAAAUAUCAAAACGUGAUAUCAAAGAUCUGAAUCGUUCAUCUUCUUACAUCUGCCAGAUGAUCAUGUUUUCAAAAGAAGAUAAUUUUUAAAAUAAAAUUCAGUAAGAAGAAUAAAGUGUAAAUGACAAUCGACGGUUAAAUAUAAAUUGAAGGUUUAUAAAUUAUAGUGUUGGAUUUCGAAGCUGACCCCUUCAUGAAAGCUGUAAAGUUUGUCACUAUGAGUGAUUUUGUAUUUUUUUUAUACAUUUUUUACACUUCUACAAUAAUUAUUAUUAAUUUUAUUAAUUUUGUCCUCAAAUAAAAAAUAUUAUUCAUGAAGGUUUGGAAGAUUUUAAAAAUCUAAACGAUAAUGUAAGUGUAACCAUUAUCUACUCGUGGAGGAAUAAUGAUGACUUGCGAGUGUUUAUAUAUUUUUUCAUAUUUUUCAUACUUGUAUGUAUGUCUUCUUAGUUUUUGCCUAUACAAAUAAUAUAUUAGUUUAUUUUAAUUUUGGACAACAACAUGUUAAUUAAAAUUUAUCUUAGUAAUGAUAAUAAGGAACUCUCAUAAUAAAAAUAAAUAAUGACAAAAACUUUUUUUUUUAAACUUAUAUAAAAUAAUAAUACAAAACUUUAUAUUUAAUAUAGAAUAUAUUGUAUAUAUUAAUAUAGCUAUUGUAUUUUAUAAUAAAUCUUUUAGUAAUUAAACUUUAAAAUUAUCAAAAUAAAUUUUUUCCUAACGGGUCGAAACGGGUUACCCGCAUGUAUACCCGUUCAAAAUCCGUUAUUAACGGGUUCUUAACAGGUCACCCGAUAAGUUAUCGUGUUGACCCGAAAUCCGUUAUUUUUCGUGUCGUGUCACUGUUCCAUGUGAGAAAUUACCGGGUCUAGUCCAUAUGUUAAAUAGACAAUAGAAUAAGUCCCUAUGUUAAUUAGACUACACGUAUGUGGUCCAUAUGUUAAAUAUACCAUAAGCAGGGUUCUAAAAAACAUUAGGUGCUAGUCGGGCGGCGAGCUAGUGCCUAGCGCUUAGGCGGCCUAGGCGGAUUUAGGUAAAUUUCUUGUAUAUCUUGUAAAUAAGUGCAUAUUGACACUUACAAAAAAUUAUACUUGUAUGAAAUUCAUGGAUAAGAUAAUAAAAAAAUGAUAAAAUGCAAAAAGAGUAUCCAACAAGUUCAAAAUUUUAAAACACAUUAAGCAUAUAUGUCAUAUAACCAUAAUGAGGAGUAUUGUAGGAUGACACAUGUACGACAAGCUGACAAUUUAAAACCACAUAUUCAGCGGAUUUAAGUAAAUUUAUUAUAUAUCAUAUAAAUAAGUGUUUGUUCAUAUCUAAAAUAUACAUAAUUUCAUUUAAAAUUAUAAGAUAAUCAAAUUUAAACAUUAAAUAAUAUGUUCUUUUUUAAGCGAGAGCUUUAACAUUUUAAGUACAUAAUAAAAAUACAUAUGGUAUGAUCUUAAAAAAAUAAAAUAAAACAUUACAACAAAAAAAUAAAAAAAAGAAUGAAAAGUAAUAACGGGUUAAGAGUGGAAAAAGAAAAGGGCAUAAAAAGUAGUAAAAAAAUGGUGAGAACCAUUCAAAGAAAACGUGCAGUCUGUAAUGGAUGCUUUUCCUAGAUAAAAGAUGGUGGGGACCAUCUUGAUUGAAUCAUGCAAACUGAAUAAUGAUCCAUGUUUACAACCAGACAAAAACAGAAACAAUAUUAAAAACAAAAUAAAUAUGUUAUAGUCGUAAUAAAUAAAUUAGCCUUAUGCAGAAACCAAGAUAAAAAACAAAUAAACAAAUUAAACAGCACAGGAAACAAGGAGAAAAAAUAGAUAAACUAAUUAACUAGCACAGGAACCAAGGAGAAAGAAAAUAAAGUAAAGCAUCAUCUUCAUCUUCUUCGCGUUGAGUUGCACGACGGCUCUGCAACAAUUUUUUCAGAUUCUGGCGUGCUCUACGUAGGCCCUCCUAGCCUUCGCCCAACACCGUCCUGACCAGCAUAACUCCGCCUAGUCCCACCUAAUCCCGCUUAAGCGUCCGUCAAAUAUAUUUCCGAUUUUGUGUCCGAUUAGACCAUCUCCAACCCUUGGGCUAAAAGCCAAAUUUUUUAGCCCGGAAAAUUUAGCUUUUAGCCCAGAAACAUCUUUUCUGCUCCAACCCUUCUACUCUAAAAUUUUAGCCCGGAAUUAUUAAAGAAUGAAAUUAGCCUAAAUUUUUUUCUUAAAUCAAUUUUUAAAAAAAAAAUAAAUAUGUAGAUUAUUGUAAAUUAAUUUUAUGAACAUUUUAAUCUAAAAAAAUUUAAAUUCCGAUAAACAUUUCGCAUUUAGCCCGGGGGGAAUUUGGGGGGGAAUUUGGCCCAACUUUAGCAUUCCCCUUUUAGCCCAAUAUUUUAGCUUGGGUUGGGGGGUGUUUGGGGGGAAUUUUGGGCUAAAUAUUUGGCAUUUAGCCCAGGGUUGGAGUAGGUCUUAGAAGCUAAUCGCAGCAGCAACCGAACGCCCAGCGCCUAGGCGACCGCCUAGACCGACUUUUAGAACACUGACCAUAAUUGUAUGCAGUGGCGAAGCCAGGAUUUGCCGAGAAGAGAGGUGAAAUUUAAAAGAGUGCAAGAUUCAAUUGAAGCGGUUACUUUUAUAUUAGAGAGUGCAAAGUUUUGAGUCCAUAUUUAUAGCAGAAAAUAGUGUCUCCACCAAAGCGGUUGUAAGCAGUAAUAUCAAAGCCAAUGUAAUAAGCUUAAAUUGGCUAGGUUUAUAUUCUAAAAAAAAUACGCUAGUCAAGCAGCUAACUGGAACCUAGUAGCUAGGCGCCUAGGAGAGAUCUAGGUAGGAGCCUAGUGGGAUUUAAAUGAAUUUCUUUUAUCGUAAAAUAAGCAUUAUGUUGUAAGCCUAUUUGAUUGAACGAUCUAGGGUUUAGAGAGAGAGAAGGGGCCGACUAUGGUUAGAGAGAAGAGAGUGAUUUAAUUGUGAGGUGUGUUUGAUUCACCCUAUUGUGUCUUUAUUUAUAGUAGUAGGAUAGGUAAAAACCUUUCCCUUUAGGAUCACAACAUUUAAUAGGUAAUCAACUCCUAAUAGGAAUAGAAGAUACAUUCCCAGAUUCCCUAGGAUUUAUACAAUCACAUUCCUAUUCUAAAUAUGACUGCAACACUCCCCCUUGAGUGUGUAAAUACUCAACAAACCAUCGCAUCAGAUCUUCAGCAGAUAAGGUAGAAUAGUUGAUGAAGUCAUCGGCACAACGGAUGAUUGCGAGUCUCAAAUUUAAGUGAAGUAUGCAUUUGUAGUAAAACUCACAAAAAUAUCGUUAUGGUAAAACCCAAGUCAUGGGGAAAACCCAUGGACUAAGGAGAAAAGUGAGAAGUAUGUAUAAUGUCUUUAAACAAACGUCAAAUUGGACGAAGGUAGUGAACUCAAUGGAGUAUGAUCAUCCCAAGAUGAGUGUCUCAUUAAAACCUCGUUAGGUAGCAAAAACCCAGUGGAAAAUGCUCUUAAUCGUAGGAAAAAGAGUACAUUAAGAUCAUGUGAGUAUGUUUCUAGAUAUUCCCCCUGAGUUAGACAUAACUUCUAAAUAAGAGAACUACAAGCGACUCAACUCAGAUAAUUUAAGCAUUUUGAUUCCUUGGACGAGCUUCUGAAAAGUAGACUUGGGCAAUAACUUGGUGAAGAGAUCAGCCAGGUUGUCCUGGGAACGGAUUUGCUUGACCUCAAUGUUCUGAUGCUACUACUGUUGGUGUGAGUAAAAGAACUUCGGGUUAUGUGCUUGGUUUUGUCUCCCUUGAUGUAUCCCUUCUUCAACUGCUUGAUACAUGUCGCAUUGUCUUCAAAUAUCGUCGUAAGAAGGUCAACGACUGAUGUAAGACCACUAAUGCUUCAAAUAUGUCCUAUAAGAUAUAGCGGUGUCUCUAAAGGUAAAGACAUAUCCUGUUUGAGAACGUGCCAUGUGUGGGUCAAACAGAUAUCCAGCAUCUGCGUAACCAACAAGGCGAGAAUCAAUCCGAGAACCAUAAGGGGCGGUAACACUCGAAGAUUCGUAGGUAUAGAACAAGCCCAAAUCCGUUGUACUUUUGAGGUAGCGAAAAAUGUCUUUAACAUCAUUCCAGUAACUGCAUGUGGGCGCAUUGCUGUAUCUUGCCAAAAUGUUCACAGCAAAUGAGAUGUCGGGUCUAAUGCACUGAGCCAAGUACAAUAAAGCCCCAAUUGCACUUAGGUAAGGAACUUUGGGUUCCAAAAUCUCUUCCUCAUCCCCUUUUGGAUGGAAGGAAUCUCGUUUAGCAUCUAGAGUCCGAACGACCAUGAGUGUACUCGAAGGUUUCGCUUUAUCCUCAUUAAAAGGAUGUAACACCUUUUGGGUGUAGUUCAAUUAAUGUACUAGGAUUCCAUGCAAACAAUGCUCGAUCUCCAGGCCAAGACAGUAUCGAGUUUUACCAAGAUCCUUCAUCUCAAAUUCCGAUUUCAAAUGCGCAUCAAUUUCCUCAUGCUUUACGGGACUCCCAAUGAGGUUCAUGUUAUCGACAUAAACUGCAACGAUUGCAAAUAAGGAAUGUGACCUCUUUAUGAACACGCAUGGGCAUAAUUCGUUGUUCACAUAACCCUGAUUUGUUAAAUAUUCACUCAGACGGUUAUACCACAUUCGCCCGGAUUGUUUCAAUUCGUAGAGUGACCUCCUCAACCUAAUAGAGAAAGUGUUCCAUGGUCUAGAACUAUUUGAACUAGUCAAUGGAAGUCCUUCUGGAACUUUCAUGUAAAUUUAUGUAUCUAGAUCCCCAUAGAGAUAAGCGGUUACCACGUCCAUAAGCUGCAUAUUCAGUUUUUUGAAAACUAUCAAACUGAUUAGGUAAUAGAAUAUUAUAAUGUCCAUUGCGGGGGAAUUCGUCUCCUUGUAAUCAAUCCCACGGCGCUGAGAAAAACAUUGUGCUACGAGGCGUGCUUUGUAUCACACUAUUUCAUUAUUCUCAUUAUGCUUCCUCACAAAAACCCACUUGUAGCCAACGGGCUUCAAGCGUGGUGGUGUAGGAACGAUAGGUCCAAAUACCUUACGUUUCAUGAACGAAUCGAGUUCAACCUAGAUUGCUUGUUUCCAGUUUGACCAAUCAGUUCUACGUCGGCAUUCAUCCAUCAAAGAAACGUGGUUCAAUGUCAUCGGUAAGCAUGAUAUCAGUAGCUACUGAAUACGCGAAUGCAUCAUCGACAAUCAUCUUAUUCAUAUUCCAAACCUUAUCCAAUAUUACGUAAUGGACCAAAAUCUUGUGAUUCUCGAGAGGCUGGCAUGUUUCAUCUAAAGCAUCACCAUAAUCUAGAAUAACCUAAUGCGUUGGAACAGAUGAGUGAGUGAUGGUCGGAUUCAACCUCUAGGGGUAAACACCUUAAAAAAAACAUGUCUAAUUUAUUCAUCCAUAAGCGUUGACGCCUCCUGAAAAUUUGAUAUCUCCAUUGAUGUAGUUGCAUCUUCCGGAUGAUCCACAUGUGCAAAGUUAGAUUAAUGACAGGAAUGAUACUUGGCAAUAGCCUCAGGGGAAGCUCGACAUAAGCAUGACCAAUGAUCCCUUGAUCCACAACGAUAACACAUGUCCAGUUCAGUAAAAGCAGACUGAACGGGAGCUUUGCCCUUAUUCUUGAAGUUUAAGGCUUUAGGGGAGAGUGGUGGACGCUGAUGGGUCACAUUUUUUUCCCUUAGGUGUGACACUCUAUUGACAUUGGGCUCGUGGUUGGGCUUGCUGCUCGUUGCCACGGCUACGACGAUUCUUUCAUCGUUUAUGGCUCCUAAAAUAGGUCGCAUGCGCUUCAGCCUAGGCGUUCGAGCCAGUGGGGUCAAGCUUGAUGAUUCUUCAUCAAAAGCUGGUUCUGCUUUCAGCAAGAAGGAAUACAGAGAUGAAAUCCGAAAACUUGGUGAAUUUAUGUGCCUUAUAUUGUUGCUGCAGGACAAUAUUGGUGGCAUGGAAAGUGGAAUAAGUCUUCUCCAGGAGAUCAGAUUCGUGAAAACUACAGAAGGAAAAACGUGAGUAGUCAUAUGGUAAGCCAUAAACAUAUAUCGUAAAACAUACAGGUUCUGUAGGCAUGUAUUGGUUUAAUUGAUGCAUGAAAACUACAGGUUUCAUGUGGUAUGUUUUGAAUGAAAACUUCGGAUUUCAAAGGCACUAAAUUUGAAACUACAAGUUCAAUUUAGUUUUAUGAACAAUUAGUUCAUAAUGAGAGGUUCCUGCAAGAAACACAUAAUGCAAUAUACUAAUUUGAAUAUAGUGGAUUUGAGGUUCUUCGGGAACUCAAGUAUGAGAGCUUCGUUACUACGAAAGUAUGUGAUGGUUCAAAGUAUAAAAAUAAAUUAUUAAAUCGUUAAUGCCCAAAAGUGAUCUUCAGGUUAAUAAUUUUGGAUUCAUUAUUAGAUUAAUGGACUGCAUGACUCAAUCAAGUACUCGUAAUCCAAGUGGGAUUGCAGUUAUUAAAUUGAAAAUAUGACUUCACCCCUGGAACAUAGAUUUUUCAUCUAAAACCCGACAUAAUUGUUUUACUUGAUUAAAACCCAGUGAUUAGGAUCCCCAUAAGCAUAUUCCCUAAUUAAGCUUGAAUUCAAAUAUUUUACAUGUUUUCAAUGGCUAAAUUAUCCCUAAUAACAAUUGGAUUUAGACAUUUCUUUUCCUAUUCUAUAUCAUUUUUUUUAACAAACAAUAUUUUCUACACUAAAGGAGGGGUGAACUUAGCCUCAUAAUGAGCUAGCAAUAAUGAGGUCCAAAUUUGCCUUUGGCGAAAAUUGAAGCUAAGACCUCUCUCUUUCACAAUUGUUCUUUUUUCUUAUUUUUUUUUGUUUGAAAUUGAUUUAUUAUAUGCAACAAGGUAAAUUUGUGCUUGUAAAUAUAGAUAAAUUAGUGUAAAUAUAGGUAAAUUAGUGUAUUUAUUAUGUGAUGUCAUAAAAUAAUGUAUCUAUUAUUUUCUCACCCUUUGGUUGUAAUAUUUCGUUGUAUGAGAAGAAUGUACUUAUAUCUUGUUGGUAGGUAAAUUAUUACACAUGAAAAUGCAUGUAAAUAACUUAUAUAUACUGUAAACAUGGAAAUUCUUGAAACAAACGAAACAAGAACACAUGUACAAAAUAAUAUUUUGUAUUAAUGAUUUUUGAGGUUACAAUCUCUCUCAAAUUUAAUCCUCUGAUUCGAUCUCCAUGAGGUGUUGAUUUGUGGAUGUGCGAUUGAUCCAAGGGCCAUUGAGGCUUGAACUUGGAUGAACGGUUGGAAAUUUCUUCAAGGGGCUUUAGGCCUAAUCUUGAGGGUUGAUGGAUGAACGGAUCUUCAAGGCUUUUGAGCUUGAUCUUGAAGAACUGUUGAUGAACGGAUCUUCAAGGGCUUUUGGGCUUGAUCUUGAAGAACGGUUGGAUGUGUGGAUUUAUUGAUGUUGUUGAUCCAAAAGGUCGUUGGGGCUUGAUCUUAGGAUGAAUGGAUUUAGUCACACGCUACGUGUAAAAUUUAUGUGACACUUGAGCAUUGAAAUUGUAAUUGUUGGUCAACAUUUAUUUCACCGAAAUUUCAAUGUCUACAAAUGCCCCCACUUCAAGGCGCGUCGUAUACAUGUGCUUGUCACGUGUAGGAGAUGCAUUUUAAAGUCCCUUAAUGUAAAUGUCGAUCCAAUGGCCAUCGAUGCUUGAUCUUGAAUUGGGCUGGAGAUUUCUUCAAGGGUCGUUGAGGCUUGUUCUUGAACUUUGUUUGAAAUUUCUUCAAAGGCCGUCGAGGCUUGAUCUUGAAUUAAAUUGGACCACAAGGAGCUUCAUGUGGUAGAUGAUCUUUGGCUUUGGUAGUGGAUGAAUCGGUACGUAUUUUCUUGCGCUUGUUGACUUUCCACAACUUUGAUCUUGAACUGGGUUGGAGGAUUUUCUGGUUUCCUCCAAUUAUUGACUUUCCACUGGCUUAUUCUUGAACUGGGUUGAGGGGUUUCUUCUGCUAGACUUACCCCAAAAUGUCUGGAUUUACUCCUUUUAUCUGGAGCUGAAUUUGGUUCAAGGAUGGUGGACACUUAAUCUUGAAUCGGACGUGAUUUCUUCAAGUUGGUGACUUAAUCUUUAAGGAUUUGAUUCAAGGGUGGUGAAUCGGCACGUGCAGCUCACAACGCCUAGCGAGUAGACUCAAGAAUUUGAGGGUCAAAACAAGUCCGCCAAAUCUAGAGUACUUGCAACCCUGACGAUAUGAGAUAUUUUUUGCUUUUGAAGAAGUAGCAGGUGAAUCGGCACAUGUUUGCUGUGCUUGUCUCCACAUGCUUCAAUGUAGCAUUUUCACUUACCUUAUCUGUUCUUCAGGCAGAUUUGGUAUCUUCUGCUAGACUUGUCUAUUUCCCCGGCGGAGCAAUGCUAGGUAAGCAAUCAGGAAAGGGUUCCAGGUAGUCGGUUCCUGACUAGGAGUUUGACUUCAAGUUCCGACUGAUUGCUCUCUUUCUUCUUGUCCUGUAGGUAAGAACAAGGACAAAGAAAAUGACAGGGAGAAAGCAUGAUAUGAGAUACUCUUGUUUUCGAAGAAGUGGUGGCGAUUUGACAGCAUUGCAUAGUGAGGCUUUGUUCUUCGGGGAUGGUGCCAGCGAAAGGCUAUUGAAGCUUUUCGAGCUCUUUGAUUAGGGCAACGAUGCCAAGCUUAGCUUUGAUUUAGACUCAUCCAUCUGGGUUAUGCGGUUCUGCAGGGAAGGGCGUCGUGCUAUAGUGAUCUGUUCUGGCUCAUCAUUGAUCCUUCUGCUUCAAUCUCUUGCAGUAUUUGCCCCCGAUGCAGGAGUGGAAUGCAAUCUUUGCAUUUAAAUGGCCUUUCAGAGCACUACUUCUUAGCGGCGAUGAGCACUCAAGAGCACUGCCAGGUAAGCAACCAGGCAAAGGUUCCGGGCAAUCAAUUCCAGAUCAGAAGUUUGAUUUCAAGUUCCGACUGAUUGCUUUCUUUCUCCUUGUCUUGCAGGUAAGAGCAAAGGUAAAGGAAAAGACGAGGAAAAAGCAUGAUAUGAGAUACUCUUGCUUUCUAACCUGAUGAUAUGAGAUACUUUUGUUUUGAUGUCAUUUGUUUGCAAGGGUAUUCCUGGAGAGGAAGAAAACUGAGUAUUUCAAGAGGCUAUACUAGGAGUGUACUCUCGGAGGUGAGGAAGAGUUGGGCAUUUUUUGUAGGUCUGCCUUGCUAUGGAGGACGAAGGUCGACAUAUAUAGGAAUUUUCCAACAGCCAGUAGUGGCACUAUUUCUUUACUCUUGUCGGCAACUGUUAGGUAAUUGAAACAGUAAGAUUCACGCGUUUUCGACUUUGUCAGAAAUCUUUGACAAAGUUGUCCGUGCUUUCUGCAAAGUUGAAAGGGUGGCGACAAACUUUGAUCCGGAAAAUCCAAUUUUUUUUUUAAUUCACAUAGCAGUGCCUCUUCGAUCUGUGAACCGGUGGCCUUGUUGCCUUUUUUAUUUCUGAACAAAAGGCCCGACUUUUGAAAUUCAGGGAGAGGUGCCUUUUUGGUUUCUGAACGGUCACGUUGCCUCUUCGAUUUCUGAACAGGCCUUGUUGCCUCUUCUUUUUUAUAGAGGCAUGAAUUCUGUUCAAAACACACUUAGAGAGUUGUCGCAUGUAGGAAUUUUUUUUUUUUAAUAUUUCUGAGAAUUCGAUUUACCCGACCUCUUCUUCCUUUAUCAUUUUUUUUACAAAUGGCUUGCCUAUCUGAUCGUCUUCUUGAUUUGAAUGUUGGGGAAGAUGUUGAUAUGUCUUCUCCAUACAACAUAUGGCACCCAUCCUUCUUAUCCCUCACCGGUUCUCUUACGGUUAGGGACUCUGUGAUGAAGAAUGACAUCACUGCUAUGGUGGUUGCUAGAAAUCUUCUCACCCCCAAGGAUAGCAGGAUCAUUUCCAAACGGUCUGAUGAGAUGGUUGUUCAGGACUCUCUGGCUUUCAGUGUUCAGUGUGCGGGCUCCGUAUCAAAUAUGGGCCAACGCCUUCUUGCUCGAACUCGUCAAGUCGAGUCACUAAUGGCUGAGGUGGCGAGUCUUAAGCAAGAGAUUAGAGGGCUUUAGCGUGAAAACAGAGUUGCACAUACUUGCCAAUAGUUACUCGACGAGCAUGAAGAGAAAGCUUGACCAGCUGCAGGAAUUCGAAAGUCGGAUUCAGAGUGACCAUCAUAUGGUUGUGGCUUUACUCCAGAGACACAUAUUGCAUUUGUCCUCUGGCGUUUUACCGAGUGUUGAGGCUCCAAACAAUCAACCUCCGGCGUCUCUUCUUCCCUGAGUUUCGCCGAGUGAUGAGGUGCCACCUGAGCAACCUUCUUGAAAUCAAUAAAUGAGGCUUUUUUCACUCAAUGGAUUUUUUUUAUUUUUUCUUUUCUUUUCUUUCGCAUGGUGCUGAUCCACCAUUCAAUUUUUUAUAUAUUUCUUUCUUUUCUUUCCUUCACGCGGUAAGGCACCAUUCCAAAACUUUUUUUCUUUCUUUCAUAUGGUGCAAUUCGCACCAUCCCACCUCCCUACUUUCUUUUGCUUUUUUUUUGUUUUUUUGUAUUUUUUAUCCUUCUUUUCAAAGUGGGCUGAUGGUGAUGAUCCUUUACAAUUUUUUAUUAGUAUUUUUUUUAUUUUUUUUCACAUGGUGCUGUGCACCAUCCAAACUUUUAUACUUUUUUUUUGUCGGCCAUAUAUAUAUAUAUUUUUUCUUUCUUUUAACGUGGUGGCACCACUUUGCUCCACCAUCCCAUUUUUUAUUAUUUUUUGGGUAAAUUACAUAGUAGCCCCUUAGGUUUGAGAUCUAUUACAAUCUCAUACAACAUCUUUAAAACAUUUCACUUUCAUGCCUCAAGUACUAUUUUAUUUCAAAAUAAUACCUCUGUUACAUUUUACAUCCAUUGAUCCGUUAAAUGCUGACGUGGCUGUCAAAUAUGUGCCACAUGGCUGCCAAAUGUAUGCCACGUGGCAAAAAUAAUAAUUUUUUAUUUUUUAUUUUUGAAAAAUCUUAAUCUUCUUAUAAAAAAUAUAAAAAAUAAUAAAAUAAUAAAAAAUAAAUAAAAAAAACCAAAACUUAGAAAACACAGAACCACCCCCGCAACCUCUCCCUACCCCUCUUUUCCCUCCCAACCACCUCCCUCUCCUCCACUCUCUUCACCUCCCCUCCCAUCCAAAAACCCACCCCACUCCCUUUCUCCCUUCUCUCAUAUGUAACCUCACCCACAACAUUCCAACAUAUUCAAAUCAUGAAAUUAAACAACAAUUUUCUCAAUUCAUACACAGAAAUCCAAGAGUUUAACCUUAAGGGACAGCAACCACCAUUCCUUGAAGCUCUGGAGUGAGGACGACCUGCCAUCCCAGCCUUGAGAACCCUAGCCCUAGAGUUCCUCUUCAGCACGUACUCCUUGUCGUAGGACCGCAGAGGGAGGUGGCUCGACGAAGGGAGCUUGUCGCCGGGGGCAAGGUUCGUGAGAGCUUGUCGUUGCCGGAGCUUAUCGUCGCAGGGGGGGAGGGUAGUCACGCAAGCUUGUAGCCGCAGCCGGGGGGGCGGAGGGGGCUUCAGGAAGAGCCUCUGCGAGGUGGGGUGAGGUGGGUCGUCUGGAGAGGGGGUGUUUAAGUUUAUGGGUUUUUGUGUAUGGGUAUGGAGGGAAGGGAAGAGGGGUUCAGCUUUUGCUUUUGUUUUUUUUAAGAAGAUUCAAAAUUUUCAAACAAAAAUUAUUAUUUUUGCCACGUGGCAUACAUUUGGAAGCCACGUGACACACAUUUGGCAGCCACGUCAGCACUUAACGGAUCAAUGGAUGAAAAAUGUAACAGAUGUAUUAUUUUGAAAUAAAAUAGUACUUAAGGUAUGAAAGUGAAAUGUUUUAAAGAUGUUGUAUGGAGUUGUAAUAGACCUCAAACCUGAGGGGCUACCAUGUAAUUUACCCUUUUUUUUGUAUAAAUUUUGAUGAUGGGCUGGGGAAUUUGCAAGGAAGGACGAAGACGGAAGGAGAGCUAGAGUCAAGAUUAGUGGUAGUGCAAAGCGUCGAGCUUCACGACCAGCUAGUCAUUUGACGGUGGUCGUUGAAGUUCUUCGCCGACUUUGAUCAUGGCGACCAAAGUGACGAGCUUGAGGUAGUGCAAAGCGUCGAGCUUCAUGACCGGCUAGUCGUUUGACGGUGGUUACUGAAGUUCUUCGUCGAUUUUGUUCAUGGUGGCCAGAGUGAAGAUGACUCACAGGUUUAGAUGCAGGAGCAUGGAGAGCACAGACGAAAGUGCGUUGAGGGCCGAAGAAGAAUGCGAGGAGACUGAGGAAGAAGCCCUUCCUCUUGUUCUGCCAUGGAAGAUGAACCUCUUCGAAAUCUGAAGCUCUACUACUACCACAACUGAGCACAACCAACAGACUCCGCCACGUCAAUUCCCUGGGCUCCCCCAAAGACACCUUUGCUUCAUGCUAAUCGUUGGAUAAGUGACAGCCGCAACUCUACCUCUCUACCCAGCGAGAGCCCCACCACAAGGUCACACGCCACCGAGAAUCUCUGCCCAACUAGCCGCUGCCAUGCUGCUGUCUGUGUCUUUCUUCUCUCAGCAACUAAUGUAUUGCCAGCCAUCUCGUUGUUUCCUCUGUGAGCCUCAUCAACGCCUACCGAGCCCUUGCCGAUGAUGCACGUCAUUCCUUUGAUCGCUUCAACGUAUUCAGCAACUCGACUGAGUCGCACAAGCCCAAACAACUCAACCUCUCAUCGAACUUGUUGACUUGGACUAUAGUUUCAGUCAUCGCACAAAUCUAGUCUGAAAGAGGCCGAGCUCAAGGUGUGGAGGGUCUGGAGCUUGACGCAGUGGACGUGGGAGGGCGGUGUGGAGAAGUUGAGAUAAUAUGAUCUCAGACACACUGAUAGAGAAGACUUGGAAAAACUUUGAUUUAUUGUACAACCGAAGGGCAGACGAGCCCCGUUGACUUGACUUCAAGUCUCCUCCGUCUGUGAGUCUUCAAGCUGAGAGUUUCGACCUAAACCACUAAGACCGCUUCCAUUAUAAUUGCCUUCGUAAAAAAAAUACAAAGUUCAUGGCCACCAACCAAGCAUCUUCACUCUGUGAGGCUGAUAUGUACACCCCAUGUGCAAUCUGUCACAUAUGUGUUACUUCUGCAUCAACUUCAACAUCAUAUGCGAAUAAUUUCCCAUCACUUGGGCAGCUGAGGAAGAGAAGUGGAGAGCUUGGAGGUUCAGCCCUGUAAAGAUGCAAAGUCCAGAAUGGAGCAACCCAGCCGAACCGACUCGAUUCUGGCAGGAGAUUUUGGAAAGGGAUCUUGAUGGUGAGAAGGGGGCCAAGAAUGAGUCUCGGUCUGCAAGACACUUCUCCAAAACAUUUCUCCAUAAAUGAACCCCAUUCUCAUCUUCGUACACAUCACAGAGGUUAAUCGUAUUCGAGCGCUGCGAUAGAUUCUCAACAAUCUUCCUCAUCACCAGGAUUUCAUUUGUGAGCAGCACACUUGAUAUGGACACUUGUUUUCGGGUUUGGAAAACGGCAACAGCAAAGUUAUUCUGGUCUCCUCUUUCUUGAUCUCUCGGCAGCAUCCCUGUUUCUCAACUGCCUUCUCGUUUUCUUGGAGAUAGGAUUGUCGUCAAGAAUUUCACUAAGAUGGCGUGGCUUGAUCCCAAGUAGUAUGCGAAUGAAGCUUGGGGUGUUGGGAGGAGGUACAUCCAUGGCUGGGUGUCGAUAGUGGUAGUGCUCGCAGCUCUUAGAUCUGAUGAAUAGCAACCGAAGUUGGCUUGUGCGUCGAGGCCGAAGGCAAUGAAUGCGAGGUUGGUGAGGAAGGACACGGGUCCAGCGGUUGCUGGAAUUGGGUUGCGCCGGCGCUGAAGAGCACGGAGGAAGCAGAGCGGCAAAACGAUGGUGGUGAAGGGCAGCUUUCGCGGAGGAUCUAGAACCAGGCGUCGUCUAACCGCCCGCGUGAUCGUACAUGUAAGACAUGAAGCUUAGAAUCACAGUGAAAGCGUCCUCCAUCUCUCGCCUUCUCAGCCAGGUUGACGAUCUUCGAAACCGUCGAUUCGCUCGGUUUCACAUCCUCCGAAGCCAUUUCAGCAGAAAGAGUGAGACUUGGGCCUCUUCAUGGGCCUAUUGGGUAUGGGAUCCGAUGGAGGUCAGGAGGGUAUGGCUUGGGCCUGGAUUUGGGCUGCUCAUUUCUGUGGACUUCAACUUGUGUUUCUUUGAUUUGGCACGGGUCUUAAGUGUAAGAAGACCCACUUUAACAUGUAUACAUUUUUUUUAAAUUUUUUUUACUACAAAGAAUAUUGUUUUUUUUUAUUUGUAAUAAAAUUGACUCUCAAUAGUCAAACAUUUAAUAAAACCUUAUUUUUUAUUUUGACGUGACUGUACUCGAAGUUGAUCGUUCGAGUUGCUUACGUACCCUUCCAAAGAAGAGAUCAAGUCAUAAUGUAGUUCAAAUACAUAUUUUUUUCGAUUUGUUUUAGUCCCGUACGUAGUUUAUGCUCUUGCGGGCUAGGAGCAUGGUCCGUUUGUUUUAGGGGUAGUAGCGCUUCAAGAAUCUGCCAUUGAUGGGGCCGAUAUUCAAGCUGUCUUCUGCCAUGAUUAAGUAGGCGCCAUUGGUGUAGACUUUUUCUAUUACGCCAGGUCCAUCCCACUUUGAUGUGAACUUGCUUUUUGUUUUGUGAGUUAUGAUGAUAAGUCUACGCAAUGUAAGAACGAGAUCUCCCACUUGAAAAGAACGAGGGCGAACUUUCUUGUUGAAAGCCUUGGAGAGUCGUGCUUUAUAACACUCCAAGUGCUGCUGAGCUUCAAGCCUUUUCUCAUCCAGUGCUUCCAGCUGUUGAAGAUGCAACUUUGUGUUUUCUUCAUCAGUCAAGCCUUCUUGUAUAGCCAUCCUUAGUGAGGGGAUUUGGCUUUCGAGUGGCAGAACAGCUUACACGCCGUACACGAGAGAAUAAUGCGUAGCUUGGGUAAGAGUCUUAUGUGUCGUCCUAUAUGCCCAAAGUGCUUCGCUUAUUCUUUCUUGCCAGUUUCUCUUUAUUCGGCCGAUCACCUUCUUUAGGAAGCUGCACAAUGUUUUGUUGAAUGCUUCUGCAAGACCGUUGGCCGGAGUAUGAUACAUGGAAGACUUGUGUAGUUUGAACUUGUAUUUCUCACAGAGCUCGUCCAUGAGUCGGUUGGAGAAUCGUUUUCCAUUGUCAGUGAUGAUGUAGCGAGGCACACCAUAUCGGUGGAUGAUAUGUUCCUUGAUGAAACAGACAACAGCUUCCUUCUUGACUUCCCUUAGGGGUAUGGCUUCAGCCCACUUGGAGAAGUAAUCUGUUGCAGCUAUGAUGUAAGCUUCUUCUGUAGAUGACUUUGGUGCAAUCGGCCCUACGACAUCCAAUCCCUAUGCAUUGAAUGGCCAUGAAACAACUGUAGGGUGUAAUGGUUCAGGUGGUUGAUGUAUGAAGUUGGCAUGGAAUUGGCAGGCUUAGCACCUUUUGGCGUGUUCCAGACAAUCUUUCACCAUGCUUGGCCAGUAGUAACCCAUUAUUUUGAGCUGAAAAUGUAGCUUUGGUCUAGACUGAUGCACCCCGCAUACGCCUGAGUGUGCUUCUUCCAUGGCUUGAUUGGCUUCUUCCUCACCUAGGCAUCUCAGAAGUACUCAUUCAAAAGAGCAUCGGUGGAGUGUUCCUUUGUAGUAAAGAAAGCAAGGUGUUUGUCGAUGUAUUUCGGAGUGAUGUCUAGGAUCAUUUGGAAGCUUUCCAUGCUCCAGGUAGUAGAUUAGCGGUUGUCUCGACUCUUCAGCAUCGACUGGAAGUAUUGAGAUGACAUUUGUAUCAUCCAGUAGCAUUUCAGUGACGAACGGGAUCACCCAUCUUUGGCAAACUGGCACGUCUGCAGCUUCAUCUUCCCCCUAGUGUCAUAUUUGAGGCUAGGUUGGCGAGAGCGUCUGCCAUUUGUUUUUCUUUUCUUGGCAUAUGUUCCAGUGUCACAGUCUUGAACUUUUGUAGCAGUUGAGUUGCCAGCCGGAAGUAUGGGACGAGAUCGUCUUUCCUCACCUCAUAUUCAGUUAAGAGUUGAUUGAUUAUAAGCUUGGAGUCACCAAAUACCUCAAGGGCUGUGAUUCCCAUGUUGAUCGCCAUUUGGAGUCUGAUGAUCAGUGCUUGGUACUCAGCGACGUUGUUGGAGCAUAGUUCGCUUAGUUGGAAGGAAUAAAGUAGUAUUUGCCUUUGUGGCGACAUGAAUACUACUCAUGCCCCUGCUCCGUUUGCUCAUGCAGAUCCGUCGAAGAACAUCGUCCAUGUCGGGAAGAUGUCAAUGUAGAACACCUCCUCAUCAAGCAAGUCAUCUGAGAUUUUCCAAUCAGCUAGGAUUGGAUGAUCGGCAAGGAAGUCUGCUAGUGCUUGUCCCUUGACGGCUUUAGUUGGUACGUAGAUGAUCUCUUAUUGAUUAAGAAGCAACGCCCAUUUAGCUAGUCGCCCUGUUAAGACUGGUUUGGACAUGACGUAUUUGACCGGAUCAGCUUUAGUAACUAGGUGGAUGGUGUAAGCAUGCAUGUAAUGCCUGAGCUUCUGAAUAGCAAACAUCAAGGCGAGGCACAUCUUUUCUAUUGGGGAGUAGUUCAACUCAGCGCCGGUGAAAGUUCGGCUAAGGUAGUAGAGUGCUCAUUCUUUCUGGGAUUCAUUCUCUUGUGCCAAGAGUGCUCUAACUGAACUUUCCUGAGCGGCGAUGUACAAUAUGAGCAGUUUCCCGGGCACAUACGCCCCCAUGACAGGUGGACUUGAUAAAUAUUUUUUUAUUCUUUCAAAAGCAUUGUGGCAUGCUUCGUCCCAUACGAACGGAACAUCCUUCUUCAUGAGUCGACUGAACGGUUGAUAACGCCCUGCAAGGUUGGAGAUGAAAUGUUUGAUGAAGGCUAGUCGUCCUUGUAGAUUUUUCAGCUCGUGCAGGUUUCUUGGUUCAGGCAUGCUUUGAAUGGCCUUGAUUUUUUAUUGGUCCACUUCAAUGCCACAGUGCUUGACAAUGAAGCCGAGGAACUUUUUAGAGGUGAUGCCAAAUGCGCACUUUAACAGGUUCAUCUUAAGGGUGUAUUUUCGCAACCUUUCAAACACUAUUCAUAAAUCCUUCAGGUGAUCUGAUCUUUUCUUUGUCUUGACAACCGCAUCAUCUACGUAACAUUCUACAUUUUUGUGUAGCAUGUCAUUGAAGAUUUUCUGCAUUGCGCGUUGAUAUGUGGCUCCAGCGUUUUUCAGACCAAAGGGCAUCACCUUGUAGCAGUAGAUACCUUUUGGAGUGCGGAAGGCUGUUAGUUCCUCAUCUUCGAGAGCCAUGUGAAUUUGAUUGUAUCCAGAAGAGCCGUCCAUGAAUGACAGUGCUUCAUAGCCAGUGGUUGCAUCUACCAUGAUUUUGAUGAUUGGCAAGGGGAAGUCGUCAUUCGGGCAAGCAUCGUUGAGGUCCCGGAAGUCUAUGCAAACACGUAUUUGUCCAGAUUUCUUAAGGACGAUGAUGAUGUUGGAGAUCCACCUGGGGUAUUGCACCUCUCGAAUGAAGCCUGCUUCAAUUAGCUUGUCAAUCUCAGCCUCAAUUUGUAGGAUGAGCUCCGAUCGAUAUCGCCUUUGAGUUUGCUUUAUCGGUCAUGUUCCAGGCUUGACUGCAAGAUGAUGCACAACGAUGACAGGGUCAAGGCCGGGCAUUUCCUUGUAGGUCCAAGCAAAGACGUCUUUGUACUCUAGUAGCAAUUGGUAAUACUCUUCUGUCUCAUCCGCACUUAGCAGCGCACUUACAAAGAUAGGCUUCAACUCUUUUUUUGUGCCUAAGUUAAGCUCUUUGAGAUCAUCAAUCGUGGCUUGCCCCCCAUCCUCAAGUUGUGGUGGUGCGGCAGUGAAGUCUUCCUCGGGGAUUUCUUCUUCUUUGCCUUCUUGGAUCGUGAUGUGGAAGACGUCUUGGACUUCCUCUUCAGUUCCGUCCUUUCGGGCUUGUUGACGUGAAGAUUGGCCGGUGUGAAUGAUGGUGCGCCUUCUCACUUUCAGUGAUCCAAUUGUGUCAACCUACAAGAUUGCUUGGCGUUUCAUCCUUGAAGGAAUAGAGCUUCGAACAUCAUCUUUUCUUGCCAAACUGUCGAGCUUUUCUUCCUUUGGCGUCAUUUCCCUCUUUCUAGAAGGCUUCUUGUUGUCUUCAAGUCUUUCCAAAGCUAACCAUCGCGGAGGAGAGCUAGCCAUGUUGCUGCGUUGCUUGGGUUUUAAUAACCUUUCAAAAACAGAGCUUUGGGAUGUUGGUGUGUUAAGCCUCUUGAAAACGGAGGUUUGGUCUUGACCACCAAUGCAAUCAAGUGCCGAAAUUCUAGGCCUUGAACGAUUCAUCCUAUCGAAGACUGACAUCAGAGGAGCGGACUUAGGCUCCUCUUGAUUUUGUUCAACGCUCAUGCUGAUGUGUUAAGUGCUAGCAUUUUUCGCUUUGCUUGAAAUCUUCACGGGUGCAUUUAGUGUGAAGUCAAGCCCAGCUUUGUUGUUGUCAACUUCGUAACCAUGCUCCUUCAACUUCUUUUGAGUCUUGGUGAGGUUAUAUUCUUUGUCGUUGAAGGUGUUUGAAACCCUCUUUCCAGGAUUCGAAAAGGAAGCGAAGUCGUACUGAGUUUUCGACAUGAGCUUGUAGGCGUUUGGAUCAAAACCUUCUUCGGUCCUCUUGGUUGGAAGAAAGCUUGGUUCCACCCCAUUUGGCAGAGCUUUUAUGAAGCCUUGUGGUAGUCUUGCAACCUUAGCAUCGCGUAGCUGUGUCAGAGGCAAAACUGCAUCCGUCUUGAGCAACUUUAAAUUAUCCUUGUGUCGUUGUGCAUCGAAUUUGCUUGCUCCAGUUUCGAACGGGGAUUGACCAUUCUUUCUUCUCGACAUCGAGAUGUAUCGGAAAACAUAACUUCUCCUUCUUACUUCUUGGGCAUGGCUUGCCACUCCUGCUUUUUAGGUGUUGCUUUGCCAGUGGAUUUUAUCUCUUUUGAAAGAGCUUCAGGCACCAUGUCUUCAUCCAUGUAUAACUUGGCAUCUCCAAAAUAUGAUUCGGCUUCGGUGAAUGGCUUGGUGUCGUCUUGGAUCACCUUCACUCCUUCUCGGUAAAAUUUUAAGCAUUGGUGAAGGGUGGACAAUACUACUCCCUUCACGUGGAUCCAAGGCCUUUCUAAGAGCAAGCUAUAAGAAGUUCUUGCAUCAAUAACGUGGAAUAUCGUGCUUGACUUAAGUUCGCCAAUGGUCAUCUCCACUCGGAUCGUGCCCAUUGCUCUUUGACCUCCUUGAUUAAAACCUUGGAUUAGUAGACGGCUUAGGGAUAGUUCGUCCACCUUGAUGCCGAUUGUGGUCAUUGUUGACUUUGGCAUGAUGUUUAUGGUUGAUCCACCAUCCACAAGCAUGCGGUUGACUUUGUGCUCUCUUAUGUACCCCGAGACGAAGAAAUGACGGUUGUGAGGCUUUGAUCCCAGCAGUAAGUCUUCAUCUGUGAAGUUGAUUGCGUCUUAGGUGGCACAACAUGUGGCACAUUCAUGCGGCCGAAGCUUCAAGCCUUCGUUUAUCUUUUUUUCCUCGAUAGCGAUGGCUUUGCCUUUUAAAGGUUAUUCCAUUUCUACUUCGACCAUGUGACAUGCAGCGGCAGUGCACUGUUGGAAGAAGUCCUCCGGGAAGUACUUGUGCAAAGAGACGGGAAUACAUGGCUCUUGCUCCAUAGGUUCCCCAGCAUACGUUGGCUUAGCAGCUUUUCCGUUUCUUUUGGGCUUCCUACUAUUGCAACAACGGUGCUUUCUCCCUUGUUCCACCUUUGGCCUUGUGGCUUGUGGUUUUGGUUUCCUUGUCUUUUUGUAGGUCACCAAUGUCCAUUCUUUUUCGUCAUCAGUAUGUGCAUCUUGGUCGCUUUCCCCCAGUGAUGGUUGUGCAGAAGAUGUCAUGCAGCUUGAGCAUUUACGGGAAUGGUCAGGUGUCACUUGGAGAGGCACGGGAUCAAAGGAUCCAAACGUAAUUGUAGUAGUAUGUGUUGCGGCCGUGUCUUUAAGAUCGAGCUCGAUUUGCCCUUGUUGUGCUAACUUCAUGAUGAGUUCUUUGAGGAUGAAGCAUUUACCAAAAAAAUGGCUCACGAUACGAUAGUACUUGCAGUACUUAGGAUCGUUUACGGAAUUCAUCUCUUCAGGGCGCUUGCAUUCCGGUAACUUGAUCACCUUCUUUUCCAGUAAGUCAUCUAACAUUGCAUCCAUGUUUGAGUCAGGAAAAGGGUACGUCUUUUGCUCUAACUCCCUCAAGGUGUUUUUGUACUUGUAUUAGGUGCGAAGAGGCUCACCUCUCUUUAUCUCUUUUGCUUUGGUCUUGGAGGAGAUCUUGAUGGGCGCAGGGGAGGUCUUGAUAGGUGCGGUGUUGACAGUAAAAGCUUCCUUGGAGGGUUAUUUUCCAGUCCUAUCUACAUUUGGGAAUAACACUUUAUCCUUCUCGAAGUCGGUGAUCAGCUCAUUCUUCCCAUGAUUGGCGAUACUUAGCUCCAUGUCGUGAGAUCGAGUUGCCAGUUCCUCAAAUGUUCUCGGUUUUAUACCUUGGAGGAUGUAAUGUAACCCCCAGUGCAUGCCUUGAACACACAUCUCAAUGGCAGAUGUUUCAGAAAGCUGAUCUUUGCAAUCCAGACUUAAUGAACACCAUCUAUUGAUGUAGUCGAUGACAUGUUCAUCCUUCCACUGUUUCGUACUGGUCAACUCCAGCAUGCUUACGGUGCGACGAGUGCUGUAUAAGCAGUUAAGGAAUUCCCUUUCUAGCUAAUCCCAACUGUUGAUAGACUCAGGCUCGAGGUCGGUGUACCAGUCAAAGGCGUUGCCUUUCAGCGAGCGCACGAACUGCUUGACGAGGUAGUCUCCCUCCGUUCCAGCAUUGUUGCAAGUUUCAAUGAAAUGGGCAACAUGUUGCUUUGGGUUUCCCUUUCCAUCGAACUGCAUGAACUUUAAUGGCUGAUAACCCAUCGGCAUCUUCAAAGCGUCAAUUUUCUUGAAGUAGGGCUUUGAGUAUAGUACAGAGUCAUGUGAGCUUCCUUUGUACUGCGCAUUGAUGAUGCUGGUAAUCAUCUCUUGCAACUGCUGGAUAGAAAGAGAUCUCAUGAAUGCCGCUGCUUGGUCUGGCUCCGGCUUCACAUCGACUUUCUCCACCAGAGGCUCAUCUUCUUCGCCGGCUCCUCCCUUCUUUGGGGCAGGUUUCUCGUCAUCCUAUGCCUCCAGGCGAUUGACAAGUGCAGUGAUUUGCAAGUCUUUUUCUUCCACGGUCCGUGUUAGUCUUGCGAUCGCUUCAUUCAUUUGAGCCAACUGUUCAUCGAUUGAAGUAGCUCCAGUGGUCAUGACUUGGAUGGCUAAACUGCCGCUUGAGUCAGCAUUGGAAAACAUGGAAUCAGAGUACUUCCUUGGGCUUUCAUCCCUUAGCGCCCUUAGUGAGGCCAGGGUGAUCACAGGUUCGUGCCUCGGGUGCUCUUGUUCCUUUGGCAGAGUUGAUGCAGAGGUGGAAGAAGCGGUAGAAAAAGCUCUUGCCUUGCUUCGAGUUAUGAUGCCCGAAAUGACACCACUUGCGGCGAUGACGCUCUUGUUUUUCGUGUUGGUUGCGGGAACCAUUUGAAACUUCCUUGAUGCCAUUUGAUUUUCGAAUGUGUGCUUUGAUUUCCUUGAACGGAGAAAGAGAUGAGAGGUAGAGAUUGUCCCAAUGGGCGUGCCAAAUUUGUAAACACGGAAAUUCCUGAAACAAAUGAGACCAUGGAAGAACAGUUGGAUGUGUGGAUUUGUUGAUGUUGUUGAUCCAAAAUGCCGUUAGGACUUGAUCUUAUGCAAACACGAAAAUUCCUGAAACAAAUGAGACAAGAACAUGUGUACAAAAUAAUAUUUUUUAUUAAUGAUUUUGGGGUUACAAUCUCUCUCAAAUUUGAUCCUCUGAUUCGAUCUCCGUGAGGUGUUGAUUUGUGGAUGUGCAAUUAAUCCAAGGUUCGUCGAGGCUUGAUCUUGGAUGAACGGUUGGAAAUUUCUUCAAAGGGCUUUGGGCUUGAUCUUAAAGGUUGAUGGAUGAACAGAUCUUCAAGGCUUUUGGGCUUGAUCUUGAAGAACUGUUGAUGAACGGAUCUUCAAGGGUUUUUUGGCUUGAUCUUGAAUGAACGGUUGAUGAAUGGAUCUUCAAGGGCUUUUGGGCUUGAUCUUGAAGAACGGUUGGAUGUGUGGAUUUGUUGAUGUUGUUGAUCCAAAGUGAUCUUAGGAUGAACGGAUGAUGAACAAUGAACACUUUCCUCAAGGGCCGUCGGGGCUUGAUCUUGAAUUGGUGAAAGUUCUUCAAGGAUCGUCAGGGCUUGAUCUUGAAGGAGGAUUUGACGAAGAACGAAGAGAACUUUCUUGAUCUUUCGGGAUUUACUUGAGAGCUUUAGAGUUUCAAAGCUUCAAAGGUUUUGGUGUGAUGUGAAUUCAUUAUGAAUUAGUGUCCUAAAACGAAUAAAAUGACCUUGUAUUUAUAGAAUUUUUCAAGGCCUAAUUUGAAUAUAAUAUUCAGAUGAAGUAAAUCGUUUCUGCCAAGUGUUGACACAUGUCCUUAUUUGAUGACUUUUCUUAUUUAUUUUGAUUUUCCGUUUAGUCACACGCUACAUGUAAAAUUUAUGUGACCCAUGAACGUUGAAAUUGUAAUUGUUGGUCAACAUUUAUUUUACUGAAAUUUCGAUGUCUACAUAUACCAUAUAAGUAAAUUAGUGAAUCAACAAAUUCUAAAUGGGUACAUUAAUGAUAUAUAAAUGUACAACAUUUUGAAACUCAUUGAAGGUGCAAAACAAGGAGUAAAUCAUCGAUAUUGACAUGAUUGGAGAAUCCUUGCAAUUUUGUAAAAUGAUUGCAGUAAUGGGUCAACUAUUUCUCUCACUUGCAACUCAUUAAAUUUAUGGUUUUAUUUAGAGGUUAAGAAGUGUGCGGGUAUACUGAACUCCCGAAAAAUAAAAUUAACAAACUGGUGAGUUUAUGUUUAUGAAAUAAGAGUUACAAGUCUAUAAACAACCUUUAAACCAGAAGUUCCCCCGCCAUGGUUGUCGUACUGAACCGCGUGCAUGGUCUCAUUGGCCAUAGUCUCUCAGUUUUAAGUCCAACCAACGUUCCGAAGAGCCGCAGAAACUUGAAGCUGAGGAUUCUAUCAAAUACAGAGCUUAUGAUAGUACAGCACUAGACUCAUUAGCCCAUGUCUAUAGUGGAACAAAUAAUACGCGUGAUUCAUAAUGAUGUGGACUGAUUGACCCUUGUCUGUCUAUUGUGGAACAAACUGAUACGCGUGAUUCAUAAUGAUGUAGACACUACACUGAGUAUAUGGUCCCCAUGUUAAAUGUAGAGUACGUAAUGUGGUCCAUAUGUUAAAUAGACGAUACAAUAAGUCCCCAUGUUAAAUGUACAGUACGUAUGUGGUCUAUAUGUUAAUUAUACAAUAAGUGUAUGCAGUGGUGAAGCUAGAAUUUGCCGAGAAGAGAGGUGAAAUUCAAAAGAGUGCAAGAUUCAAUCGAAGUGGUUGUUUUUAUAUUUGAGAGUGCAAAGUUUUGAGUCAAUAUUCAUAGCAGAAAAUAGUCUCCACCAAAACGAUUGUAAGCGGUAAUAUCAAAGCCAAUAUAAUAAACUUAUAUUAGCUAGGUUUAUAUUCUUAAAAAAGACGCUAGUCAAGUAGUAGACUGGAACCUAGUAGCUAGGCGUCUAAGAGAGAUCUAGGCAGGAGCCUAGUGGGAUUUAAAUGAAUUUCUUUUAUCGUAAAAUAAGCAUUAAACAAUAUUUACAUUACUUUUUAAAAAGUAAUACAACAUUUAUAUAUAAUGUGAGAGUUUAAGAUAAAUCCAGUAGGGGUCUUAAAAGAAAUGAAAAAAUAAAAUAAACAAUACUUGAGUACCCACAAUUUAGUACCAACUAGCAAGACUGCCCGCGCGAUGCUGCGGUGCUACGCCUUGCUCCUGUACAACCUUAUCUACAAAAGGAACAAUGAGCAGCAUUGAAUUUAAUUCCAUCAUCAAUGCCUUGAACUUGUAGGAUCAAAAUUAAUAUAUAUAUUAACAUAGACCCUAAAAUUUCUAUCAUGGAGAAAAAUAUUAACAUUGGGAAAAGGCAAAGAGAGGAAUUCUCAAAAGAAAACUGAGAGUAUGGAUCAUAUUGAAUGGAAAUCACAAACAGCAACCAAAUCAAAAAUGAAGAAUAACAAUUGAAAAGGAAAAUAAUAAUCGAACCAUAACUGAAAAAGCUAUCUGGUUUUGAAUAUUACAAUUAUGAAGCAACUCUUAUAGGAUGAGUGAGUAGAAUUUACAACGUAGUUAGGAGUUGCAAUGCAGUUAGGAGUGUUCCAUCUCGCUAUCAAUUUGCUAAACCAAGAUCAUCUAUACCAAAUGACAACUUUUUACAAUGCAAUGAUGAGAACCACGAAGACCAAUGUUUGGAAUUCACUGAAAAUAUUCCGUUGAAAAGAUUGUAACUUGUGAAGUGCAUAACGAAAAGGAAAAGACAGAGGCUGGUCUCAACAUGUAGAGAGUUGAAAGGAAUUGUGAACUUAAUGAAUUACAAAAUGUAAAAAAAUUGCAUUGCUGAAAAAGAAAUUAAUCCGCAGGAGAAAUUGAGUUAAAAUUUUGGUUGCAUAUUGAAGAGUCAGUUUUGGAACAGAUGAGAAGGAGUGGGAUGUAAUCAAUGGAAACCUCAGUCACUAAGUGUAAGAAAAAUGAAGACAAAGAAUUGCAAAGGAAAAGAACUUCGAAUCCACAUGGAAACGGAAAUUAAUAAGUGGAAAAGCAAUUAAAAGUCGAGGUUAAUCAAUUCCGUACCUUGACAGCAGCGAUCACACGUACUUCUUUCGUAUCAAUCUCAACUUCACUGUAGGAAACCAAAACAGAUUCGGUCUGUAAACAUUUUGGAGGAAAGAUUGGAUAUAGAGAGAUGAAAAUACUGUUCACAAUGAAUAAAAAUUAGUGUAAAUUUGUUUGCAUAUAGUAACUCAAUGAAAGCGAUGGAGGACAUAUUGGGGAUUUGAUAAUGACAUGUUGAGAAAGUUAAUAGCAUUGAUGAAUACAAAAUUUAAACCGUUACUGGUUGAGGCUGAAACAUAAAGGACUAAAGCAAAUUUUGAUCCUAAAUUUGAAUUUUAAAGUUGAAAAAAAAUGAUGGAGAUAUGUUGGAUAUGAUUAUAGACCAGAACGAAGCUACUUUUAUGGUUAUUUACUGUCCAAUAUGAUACUUAUGGUAUAGUUAAAGGUUCUAUAUGUUUCAGUAGUAAUUAACUCUGAUCCUUAUGCAUUCACUUGAGAAAAAUUAGCAUUUAAUGUCUCCAAAGGGAUCCCAAGUACUUAAGACAAAGUUGUUAAAAAAAGUUAAUGAGAAUGCAGAUUGGAAGCCAAAAGUAAAAAUCAAAUGAUUACAGAAUGGAAAUAAAAAUGUUGGAGUUAACAGUAAACAAUUUAAAGAUUAAACCGGUUGAGUAUACAUUGGGUAAUCAAACAUAUGGAAUAAAAGAUUAGAAAGUGAGGAUUAUGGGUUGGAUAAAAGUCAAAUAGAAAUGGAUGAAAAGCCAAAAAAUAGGAAGAAGAAGGCAGGGAGUAAGAAAACUAACAGAAUAUGGAUAUUGCACAAUGGUUAAUAUAUUAAAAACUAAAUGUUUCAAUAGAUUAUAUACCUUGAACAAAAGACGAAAUUGAAGCAUUGGCAGUUCCUAAAAGCGAAGAAGAAUGAGAUGAGACAGUGACAUCUAGCAUCUGAUUGUGGAGACAAAAUCUGCAGUCAUAAAAAGAAAAUUUAAACAUAAACUUUACCUAUAUAUCAAACACUCAAAUAAGAAAAAGAAUAAAUAAAGAAAUGGGCCAUAUGGAGAAAAAAGGUUUACCAGAACUUGGUUGUAUGCCAAUUGAAAAACAUUGUAGGUCUCAACUCAAAGUAUACUGACCACCAUGUCCAGAAGAUGUAAAAAUAACAUCACAAAAUGUAAACACCAUUGAAAACACACAGGUUGCAAUAGGCUUACAAAUGAAAUCUUUAAUUUGUACGAUAUAGAUAAAAAAAGGUUACCAGUUGGUUGUUUACAUACACAAAAAAUAUUCCAGGCAUAUGCUGGAUCUUAGUACCUGGAACUGCUUUUCAACCACAGCCAGCAUUGGGAUACAAAACACUGGCAAAUGCUGGUUUAUGUACAGGCAAAAAAUGUUUUGAAGUUCAGAUCAGAAACAUAUUUACAUGACAGGGAAAUAGCAUAAAUAUUGUUUUAUACAUGUUAACAAAAAACCAUCAUGAUUUUUUAUCAAUGGAGGUCAACUUAUGUUGCUGCAUUGUUCCCUUUCAAGAAACCAACCUAGGGAAAAAAAAAAGAAAUUAAGAGAGUUAGACGGCUGUUAAAUCCAAGUUGUAAAAAAAAUUUAGCAAAAAAAAAAAAAGCAAAGGUAAAAUAUAACAACCUAGCUUUUUUUUGGAGGGGUAGCAUCUAAUUUUCCAGCAGUUGAGGAUGGGUUCUUUUUUAGCAAUUUGAUCAGGACUUCAUCCAACUCUCUUGGAUCCGUGUCUGAAAUUUCCUCUACUCCACUGUUUUAAAUGAGGUAUCAAUGUUAAACAACAUGACUACACACAAAUUUGAAAUUUAUAGUUACAAAGGUAUGGGACAAACCUUUGUUCACCGCCAGUGAAAAGAGCUUGCCUGAUUGAUUCCCUUUUUCGUUUAAACGACUGCUCAUUGGGUUAAACUGUUGAGGUCGAAGAUGAAGCAAUGGUGGAAGACACUAUGAUUUCUCUUGACAAAGGUUGUGGAGUUGCUGGCUGCAUAACUGUGUCUUCAGUCACGUUAUGAAUGAGGAUAUCAUUUGAAUAAAAAGUAUUCCUCCUGUUGCCAAAUCGCAAGUGAAAAAUUUUCUUCUAUCCAAUAAGCCUGAGAAAUUCGUUUGGCAACUGUUGUUGCUCUACCAGUCUUUGAUUUAAUACCAGGUCUUUGCAAGGCAUGCCAAAAAGCUUUUCACCACAUUUACCGAUUAUCAAAGCAUUCAUUUCAUUUGUUUCAUCUUCAAGAAUGAGAUUGACUUUGUACCUACAUUUAGAAACUCAAACCAAUGAGAUUUUUGAGAAUCAGAGGUUUUCACAAACAUAAGAGGUAAAAAAGCUGAAACAAAAUAGAUUGCAAAUGUGGAGUAAUAUUAUAUAAUCAUAUGGUGAUCAUGUGUGACCAAAUAUGAGAAAACAUAAAAAAGAAAAGGAAACAAAGAUAAAUUAUUUGUCAGAAUAGAAAAAAAAUAAUAACAUUUAGGUUUAUACAACUGAAGUUGAACAAAAACAUAAAGUAAAGAGUGAACAAUGGUAACAAAUUUUUUUUUAAGGAACACCAUGUUUGGCAACCAUUGUGUAUAUCUAUUAUAAAAAUGCUUUCAUAAUCUGGAAUUUAAAAAAAAAAUAAGUGUGAUGACAUAAAUAAUUAUACCAAAAUUGUAAAUUUUGCACACAAUGUGAAUAACCCUAUCUAUAUUUAUUUUUCUCAAUUGGUUAAUGAGAACAAACAACAGGGUAUCAAGAAAGAGUAAACUUUUUGUUAGCCUUGCUUCAAAUAUUUGAUUUAACAUUACCACAGCGUUGGUAUUUGGUUUGGAUGUUUUUGACAAAUGAGCUGCCCAAUGGUUGGAUCCUUGUGCACCUGUUUCAAGCAGUUCGGGCAAGCACUGUACCACUAGUUGAACCGCAUGUCAAAACGCUUGACAGAUGCUCUACACACAAAUGUAUCAUCCUGUGAUAUAUUUUGUCACAUAGCCGUAACAGCAAGAACAACAGAACUCAGUUUCAUUAAAAAGGUUAAAAUGCAAUGGUAAGAUUUUAAGAAUACACAAAAAAUAAACGUUAUGUUUUAUACCUUAUGCAAAUCUGGAUCCAAAAAAGCCAAUUCAUCAAUUGUAGCUUUUUUAGCAGUCUGCAAAAUUUGAGCUUCGUUUCGUUGGAUUGCAGAGGGAGAAAGUAUGUCCAGAGCUUCUUUACAAUCACAAAACCUGCAGGAUUCAAAACACUUUAUCAGUUUAACAAUUAUAAAAAAAAAAAUGAUAACAAUUGUUUUCCAAUUAAAAAAAGUGUUAUUUUGUUUUAAAAACGAAAAAUUUACUCACACUGACUUAUACGUAUUCACUUCGGGGAUGUCUAGGUCAAUAAAAAACACAGACGAACCAGUACUACUCAAAUAAAUUUUUUUUGUGCGUUGCAACCACACCACAGAGAAAAAGAUUAAUGAACAAUAUUAAUGACAUUAACAAAGUUAAAAAAACAAAAGGGAAUACAAAAGAGACGAAACAAACAGAAAUAAAGUAAGAAAACGACUAAUAACAGUGACCAACCAGUGAUAGAUUGAGACAUUUGUAAAUUAACUGGCCAAGAAGGAAAGAAACAUAUAAUCAGAAAUUGGACGAAAGAAAGAUAACAAAAGUUUAGGACAACAAAACAUCCAAAUAAUGUAAAGAAACAACAUGUGUACACAUCACAAUAAACAGACUAAAAGUAAGUAUUUAACAAAAUGGAAUACCGAGGUAGAUCUUGACUUUCAGACUUGUGAAAACAACAAUGACUGACAAAGAAAAUUCCUCUGCUGACAAAGAAGAAAAAGCUUCAGCAACGUCUGCCCACAACAUAACCAUUAGUUCCUCUUUUCUGUCGAUAAAGAAACGACAAAUAAAUUUUUGACCUUUUUAUACCACCAAAGCAACAAAUAUUGAAAACAGUAUGUAAGAAUAGGGAUAAGAAGUGAAAAAUAACCUAAUAUUUUGGAUAACCACAUCACACUUGUACAUAACCCUUUGAUUAAUUUGUUUAGGUUCCAGCCGCUGCACAACGCUUAUAUGACCAAUGACAUCUUACCAUUUGAAAAAACAAACAGAUGCACAUUAUUAAAAUCCAUUUUAGGAAGUAAACACACACUUUAAGACACGCACAUGCACAUAGACAUUAAUAGUACCUGUGAGGAUGUCAACUCUGUUUAAGCGAGGGUAGAGUGUGUUAUAGUCUUGUAGGAAAAAUCGAUGGCGAGGGAUGGGCGGAAACACACUUGCUAAUUUUCGGAAAGCUGUUUUCGAGGUGAACAAAACCUGAGUUUCAUGCAGCACCACCUUGUAUUGUGCCCUAAUUCUAAUAGUUUGAAAUUCGGUGAUUUCAUAGCAUGCACCAUCUUCAAUUUUUUAAGCCAUGACAUCAUAAUCAACAUCCAAUGUAGAGGCCUCAACCGCAUGUUGCUUCACAUCGUAUUAAAAAAGAGGAAAAAAAGCCAAAAAAUCAAUUAACAAAUAAAUGAAAACACAAAUCAUACACUCGACAACACAAACAACAUGACAUGAAUCAAAUUGUUACCAUGAGCAAAUAGAACGAAUGAACGCAGUUAAAUUAUUUCAAACAAAAUGUAAAAAAAAAAAAUCCAUCAACACAUAAAAGUUUACAACAGAACAUACCGCAUGGCAAAUAUAAGGAAAGAAAGCCAAAAAUUGAGGGAACAAACAGAGGGAAAACACAGGUGAUGCACACAUUUCGCUGAUGACAACAUAUCGAACUCUAACCUUCUAACAUGUAAAAAAGCAUGGCAACAUAAACAUUAUCCAGUGAGUUAAUAUAAACAUUAUCCAGUGAGUUAAUACUCAUUGACUCCAACUUUGGGUAAAAUAAUUAGACAAUUAUUUCUCACCGCUUCAUCAACCAAUAUGCAGUGCAGGUUUGUAGACUUUUGAACGGUUCCUGGAAUCGUCAAUUUCCAAAUCCUGCAUAUGCGAAUUUUGAUUUUGUCCGCCUUUAUGUAUGGUAUUAACUGAUUAACAGGAGUUGGGCGCACAGUUUCCAUUUAUCCUAUCAAAAGGGAAUUUCAAUGACACAUCAGAAACUCCCACAAAACUACAAAAAGAAAAAAAGACAAAAACUAUAAACGAUCCACAAUUCAUUCACCCAUGGUCUGAAAGGAAGACAUGGAGAGUUUAACAACCAUUUGUACUUUCGCUAUCUUUUCCACCCUGUCUUGCAUGCCUAUACAACAAUUGCACAAAUUUUAUAUUGUCCAAUAAAACUAAGGACGCAAAACAGAGACCCAGACUGCAAAUCCCGUGAAUGACACCUCCAAAGAACAAAUAAUAUUGACGAAAAGAACGGGAUACCCAAGUUUUAACACCAAGAAACAAACACCUCAGCCACCACCACUAAUAGCAACAACUACAACAAAGAAAUCACAAAGUUAAUGACCACACGAAAAAGAAAUGACAACAACAAAAUAGCCGACACUAAGACCGCACAAAAACUCAAGUACAGAAACACCAAGCCUAACACAUUCAUGAACCACCACGAAUCCAGUCACAUAACACAAAACAAACCUCCAUCUAAAAAAAGAUACAAAUUUAUGUCAUCCUCUGCAAAUCAAGGCUGAACCCAAAGGCUUCAAAGAAACAAAUCCCACGAUGAAAGAUUUAGUGUCACACUAAAACAACCACAUCCCCAAACCAACUACCUCAUAAUAUAAUUUUUUGCUUUCGUUCUCCACCAACGAAAUGAAAAAUCAUUCUAUCCUCUUUCAUUUCACCAUGAAUCACAUGUACAAAUCCAACCUCUUUCAUUUGACCACAAAUCUAUAUAAUGGCAAUCCUCAGCUUUCGUGUUUUGGAUUGAAGAAAAAAUGGUAAACAUGGAAAAAGUUACAGCACUAAUGUUGCACACAUCUCCUGAACAUCUAAGAAAUGGCAAUCGGCUAUUUUCGCUAAUCGUAGAAUAAGUAUACCAUUUUUUAUACACCUUACUGAAGGAUAAACUGAAUUCUGACUGAGUCAAUGAGUAAGAUUAUACGAAUAAAGAGUUACAUUCUAUAAUGUACUAAAUAUUCCUACUAUACCUUCAUCCUGCGAGAUUAAGAAUACUUGAGAACGAUGAGUUGAAAUCAAUACGCCAAUUAUUGCUUUACACCAAGACUAAAGUGUGAAUGCAAUUUUGUACUUCGCAAAAUGAACUCUAUCCACUGCAAAUCCAUAACUAAGACUAAAUUGUCAGUGCAAUUAAUAGUGUGACUAAUCAUCAAUCAAUGGCAUCACCCUCAUACGAAGAAAGGGAGACUCUAAAAAACAACACACCCAUAACAAUUUGCUUAAAUAACUAACGGAUCAAAACAAUGAGAUGGCCAAAAGGAAAACCCACCAAACAGCAAAACGCAAACUCUCUACCUCCACCACUCAUGCCUAACCACACUUCUUAUACCCCCUCUCUCUUUUCCCAACCUCUGCUUCAGCAAAUCACAUAACCAGACAUCUUUCUACACAGGCGUCGACUGCUGCAGCAUUCUAAAACCCUAAAAUCUAUUUGAACGCAUGAUUCAAAAGGACAACAUCACCAAAAUUAAACGAUAAACCCAAAAAACGAACGAAGCCCAUACAUAUUUAAACGCAACAGAAGAAAACUCAUUUUCCAAACUAACAUAAAAAUAUGAAAACGAACAUAAAAAUCUAAAAAAAAAUCACGCACCGCAGGGUUCUCCGACGUAGCAAAGAGGCACAGAGCAGAGGAGAGGACGAUCGAGAAGAAGCAAACACAAACGCGCGCGAAACCAAAGCAAACAGGCAAGAAGAAAGCAAAAGAGAAGGCGGGAGCGAAAGACAGCGACGCAACAAAAAAAAUAAGAAACGGGAAACAAAAACGAAACAAAAUAGAGCAAAAAGAGCAUAACAGGAUGAUCAACACGUGGCAGAUCCAAUCCCCACCUUCUCCCUGCAUCAAUCCCUCGAAAACAAUGAGAACCCAUUAUAAACCCAAAGGGCAAUUCGGGCAGUCAAAAAACACCCACCAACCAUGGACGAUGAUCAACACGUAGCAGAUGCAAUUCCCACUUUCUCCCUGCACCAACCCUCGAAGAGAACCCAUUAAAACCCCGAAGGGCAAUUCGGCCAGUCGAAAAACACCCACCAAUCAUGGGCAAAGCCGACAUUUCAAUGGAGAAAAGAGGGAGAACAACGUCAAAACACAAACCAAGCAAGGGGCAUUUCCGUCCCGGCACUAUUAAUGAACAGUGCCAUCCGAAACCCAGUUUUAGUAUAUAUACUUUUACUCACUAGAGUUUGUGGCCCAAUAAAAUUACGACAGCUGUCAUUCUCAACUCUCUAACCAAAUAACAACAAAUCUAUUAUUCUAGCAGCCAAACACUUUAGGGGUGAGUUUACAAAUCCAUAAUCAGAUUGAAGGAAAUUGAAUUGAGGAGAAAUCAAAUUAAGGAGGAAUUGGAUUGAGAAUGAAACAAAAUUAGAUUCUGGUCAAAGUUGUUUACUAAACUAAUUGUAAUCGGAAUACAAAUGAUAUUAGUUCCAUAUAUAUUGUUUACUAGUUCACUAAAAUCGGAAUUAAAACUAACUUGAUUACUAAAUUGUCCUUGUUUAAAUAAAUUAUGUUUAUGCUAUAAUUAUUGAAAAUUAAGUUUAUCUAAUUAAAUAUAGGCUUAUUAUGUUAACACCCCACAUUUUGUUGAAUAAACUUCACAUACUUAAUGCUCCUCACAUUUGUUUUUUUAAUUAAAACUUAUCUUAAUAAACCCCACAUACUUCCCAUAACACCCUCACACCCCACAUUCUCAACAUACACCUUACAUUUUCUACAUACACCUCCACAUUCUUCAAAUCUUAUAAUUAUCAUUCUUGCUUCUAUGGUUUUCAUUAUUCUCCAUGGAAAUCUUGAUCUUUCGUUUCCUUCUUUUGGUGUUUGUCCAACAGACAGUUCUGCUACUUCGACUUUCUCUUUGCUUCCAUUUAACAUGUUGAACUACCUCCUUUCGAUGACUCUUGUUAACGUAGGGGACUGUGCUGGCAUCUUGGUUGGGAGUGAUGGUAUUCACUCGCAAAGUGGAAAAAAAUGAAAUAAAACAGGCUUCGGGGGUUUGGACGCCUCAACGAAGGUUAAUGGCUUUACCUGUUCAAAUACUGGCUAAUCAGCAUUGAGAGUAUUACAGUAUGAGGACAGAAAAAAAACAUGGAUUGAGAUAAUUAGGAAAUAUAUAACAACAUGUGAUUCAAAAUAAAAAUAUGUCCCAGCGUUGUAAAUGGAUCGAGAAGCAUGAUUAGUUGGGACAAGGUCCUAUUAUCAUUUAGGUUUAUAUUAGACUUGCCAUGGGGAAAAUGAAUCAAUGUUACCCUUCAUUUCCAAAACUGUGAUGCUUUUGACAGCAUAUGCAAGCAUACCAAAACAUGUUUAUCAAUCACUGGUUACCUUUUAUUUUAAACUAAUACUAGAAGAAUCCUUGAUAGAUUAGAGACUAAUGUAUAUACUUGUAUUGAGAACAAAAUAAUAGUAAAUUGAAAAAUAAAAUUAAAAGAAUACAUAAAUUACAAGUAUUCAACAAGUUUAGAGUUUAAAAACACAUUAAUAUAAACAUAUAUUAUUUUGGGCCCAAAAAACAUGGCAUAUUAUAAUCAUAAAAGGCCUAGCCCCACCAAAAUAUUUACUUUUGCAUUCAUUUCACCUCUUACCUUCGUCAGUCGUUUAUGCAAAAUCCGAAGAACCAUAAAUGGUCAAAUGCAUCAAGAACCCAAAGAAAGCCAAAAGAAAGGCCAAGGUUGGCUCCAAAUUCCACUACCUUCUUCGUUGUUUGUUUAAUUAUUUUAAUAAAGUUAGGGUUGUGUCUUAAAUUUUUGUUUAAGGCUCAAAGAAAAUAGGUGGAUCUCCUUCCUCUUCGAGACCAUCGAUGCUGAUGAAGGUAUGGCAACCGCCUAGUGGGCCGCCUAGCACCGCCUAGACCGCCUAGCGGCUGCCUAGGCGCCCGCCUAAGCCAUCACCGAAUUUCUCUAACAUUUCGCUCCAAAUCGCCUCGAAAGCCCAACGCCUAGUGCGUAGGCAGCCGCUUAGGCCGCGUUUUUGAACACUGGUUAGAAUGCAACUUAAUUAAAAUAGAUCAAAGUAUGGCUUUGGUAGGUGAGAAGCCACCAACAUCCAUAUUUAAUAUAGGGACCAUACUUAUUGUAGGGCCUACAUCAUAUAACCACCACAGGGUGGCUCAGUGGUUGGGUACGAAUUCCAGGCUCGUAUUCUGCACGGUACGUCUUGAGUUCGAUUUCUAGCGCUGGUGAAUCAUACGAUGGUGGUAAAAGGGAGACUAAAAUUCCUCUAUGAGUUUUCCUGGCUCCCAAAAAGGUGGACUACCAUGACGAAGCCAACUAGUCCCUUUGUCGAUCUUGUAUUUCCACAAACUAAUUCAUGUUAUUUGUAUUUUUUUUAUCUUGUAUUUCCACAAACUAAUACACUACUACGAAACCAUUUACUAGUGUCGCUAUGAUAACCGACAAGAAACGUAUAUUACUGUCAUAUAUUAAGCAAAAUCCGACAAAAAAUGGAUGCAGUGGCGGUUAUAAUAAGUGACAAAAUUGCUAGGGUUAGGAAAUGAAUUUUCUAACAGAAAAUACUCUAAAACAGACAGAAAUUGUGUCGAAUAUAACCGACAGAGAAUACAUUAAUACUGAAUAAAUAAGAGCAUUCUCUGUCGGAUAAAACCGAUAGAAAAUAUAUUAAUAAAAAGAAAUAUAAACCACUUUCUGAAUCAUUUCUUUCCCUUUCAAGUUGGCCUUCCCUGCAUUCACUGCAUUUUCCAGCUUUGAGAUGUGCAACGUUCCUCUAAGGUACACCAUAUUCUUCAAUUCUUCAAGUUUGUUUCCUAUUUCGCAGCUAACCUAAAUAUAUAUAUAGACAGAAGUUUGACCCCCAACAACAAGAAAAGGAUUAGAAAGACAGAUAAAUAUAUUUGAAAAAGAAAAGAAAAGACAAACCGAAAAUUUGGGCAAGUUAUGCAACCGCCUACACUACUCCCGGGGGUUACAGUUCAGGCGGUUCUCAUGUUCUCCGACACUCUCCUUUCUUCACCACCUUUAUCAUCAUCAACCUUGUCUCGUUGAUCAGCUCAUUGUCUUUUCUCGUCACAUUUCUCUCGAUCUUGACAUCUCAGUUUGAGUACAAAAACUUCCAUCAAUCUCUUCCGCUCAGGCUACAUUUAGGAUUUGCCUUUCUUUUCUUCUCGCUAGGGACGACCAUGCUCUCGUUCACUGCUACAGUUGUGCUCUUGAUUCAUCUCGAUGAGGAAUUGACAACGUCUCUCCUUUAUGUUGUUGCAUUUUUUCCUAUGUAUGUAUUUGGGUUCAUACAGCAACUUCCUUUGUAUGCUAGAUUUUCUCAUGCUUUGAUAUUUCUAUUUAAGAAAGUUAAGAAGUUUAUAAUUUCUAUUUAAAACACAAACUAAACAUAAUACAAAUAAUUUAAAACGUACUGGUUUCAAAAUGUUGCUUCUCGAAUUGUUCAUCCAUGGUGAUUGAAGCGAGAAGGAGAAGGGGAGAAGAGAAGGAGAAUGAAAUUAGGAGAGGAGAAAAGGGAGAAGGAAGGGGGAAGGGAGAAGGCACCGGUGCAAGGAAGAGAUGGAGGGGUUUUAUUUUGGAAAAUUUUCAUUACUGUCAGUUAUAACCGAUAGAAAAAAAUGGCGGCAAAAAUCCCCCCUAAAUUCCCUCCCAAAAUUUUAAAUUCCCCCCCAAAAUUUUGUUACGAUUUAAAAAAAUAAAAUAAAUUGAACGGAGAUAUGCAUUUUAUGAAACUAGUUUCCAUAAUCUAACCGUCAAACUUGUUUGUAGAUACUACUACAAGAUCGUAUACGUAAAAAAUCGCAAAAAAAAAAAAAAAAAAUCAGAGAUUAGGUAACAUAACAAAAGUUUUUUUACGGUUAUAAACGAAAAAUCUCAAUUUAACGGUUAUUUUAGCUUCGGUUUUGAUGAUUUUUUUACAGCUACACUCCUCGAUCCUAUAAGAAUGCAAUGAACGAAUUUGAUCUUCAAUUUAAAAUAUUUACACUAAUGGAUAUCACAAAAUCUUAUUUUAUACUUAAUGGAAGUAUAAUAUUAACUCUAAGUGUUUGUUUAAUCUACCGUUUUGACGCGAUAUGCAUUCUACGAAACUUUUUUCAACGAUCCAAUCGUCAAACUUAUUUGUACACACUUCGAGAUAGCAUACGUAAAAAAUCAUAAAAAAUAAACAUUCAAAGAUUAUGUAACGGAACAAAAGUUUUCGACGGUUCUAAACAAAAAAUCACAAUUUAACGGUUAUUUUAGUUCUGAUUUUAAUGAUUUUUUACAGCUACACUCCUCGACCCUAUAAGAAUGUAAUGAAUAAAUUUAAUCUUCAUUUUAAAAUAUUUAUACUAGUGGAUACCACAAAAUCUUAUUUUAUACUUAAUGGAAGUAUAACAUUAACUAUUUAAGUGUUUAUUUAAUCUACCAUUUUGACGUGAUACACAUUCUACAAAACUUUUUUCAAUGAUCUAACCAUCAAACUUGUUUGUACACACUCCGAGAUCGCAUACGUAAAAAAUCACUAAUAACAAACAUUCAGAUAUUAGAUAACAGAACAAAAGUUUUCGACAGUUAUAAACGAAAAAUCACAAUUUAACUGUUAUUUUAGCUCCAAUUUUGAUGAUUUUGACAGAUACACUCCUUGACCCUAUAAGAAUGUAUUGAACGAAUUCGAUCUUCAAUUUAAAAUAUUUACACUAGUGGAUACCACAAAUCUUAUUUUAAACUUGAUGGGGAAGUAUAACAUUAAUUCUAAGUGUUUGUUUAAUCUACCAUUUUGAUGCGAUACGCAUUCUACGAAACGUUUUUCAAUGAUCCAACCAUCAAAAUUGUUUGUACACAUUCCGAGAUCGCAUACGUAAAAAAUCGCAAAAAACAAAGAUUCAGAGAUUAGGUAAUGGAACAAAAGUUUUCGAUGGUUAUAAACGAAAAAUCACAAUUUAACGGUUAUUUUAGCUCCGAUUUUGAUGAUUUUUUACUGCUACACUCCUCGACCCCUAUAAGAAUGCAAUGAAUGAAUUUGAUCUUCAAUUUAAAAUAUUUACUCUAGUGGAUAAAUCUUAUUUUAUACCUAAUGGAAGUAUAACUUUAACUCUUAAGUGUUUGUUAAAUCUAUCAAUUUGAUAGGAUAUGCAUUCUACGAAACUAGUUUCAACAAUCCAACCGUCAAAUACGUUUGUAUAUACUUUUAGAUAGCAUGUGUAAAAAAUCGCAAAAAAAUAAAAUAUAAAAACAUUCAAAGAUUAGGUAAUGGGACCCUGAGUGAAAAAAAAAAAAAAAAACAUUCAGAGAUUAUUCUGGCAGCUGCCCAAAAUUUUGCUUUGUUCGUGUCGGUUAUAUCCGACAGGGCCAUGAGUGAAAAAAAAAUAUUUAAACCAUGUGUUUAUUUAUUUAUUUAUUAUUUUUAAUCAAUAUAAAAUUUUAAAAUAAUAAAAUAGUCAAUUUCUGUAGGUUAUAACAGUCAGAAUACUAAAAUAAUAACCGCUAGAAACUAAAAUAAUAAAAUAGUCAAUUUCUGUCGGUUAUAACCACCACCAUUAACUUAAAAACCGUCGGAAUAUGUUAAAAAUAUUUUAAAAAAAGAAUUCAAAAAUACUGGCAGUUAUAAUAAUUUUAUGGCUAUUGCAUCCGACACUAAAUAUCUGUCAGGAAUUUAUGUUGAAUAUAACCGACAGGAUUUCAUUGUUACCCGACACUAACUGAAUGAUGUGUCGAAUAUCUUUUAUCCGACAUAAUGACUUAUUAAACCACCACCAUCAUCCGACACCUAAAGCUAAUAUUGUAGUAGUGAUACACACGUUAUAUGUUGUCGGUAUUUUGUUGAUCUUGUAUUCUUGUUGAAAUUUCAUCUUCUAGAAAAUUAUGUUGGCCAGUCAUAUUUUUGUGACACUUAACCUAACUUUGUGAUAAAGUUGCAUAUUUCGAGAAACGAAAACUAUAAUGAACAACUAGCAUUUGCCUACACAUUUUGUGUAUAUGAACACGUUUUUUUUUAGAAAAUGAGAAUGAGAGAGAGAGAGAUAGAACGUGGAGGGAGUUGGAGGUUUUUUUUUGUUUUUUUUUAUUUUAAAUAUUGGAGGUAUUUUAACAUUACCUGUAGGUGAGGCUUCAAUAAAAAAAAAAAAAAUUUGAACCUGUGAAAUUACAUUAUUGCUCAUCAUUUUUUUUGUGUGAUAGAAGACUAAGUAGUCUUUUCAUCCUCUUUUGGUUGACAAAAAGGGUUUCAUUAAUUAAUAGAGAUAGGAAUGAAAAAAAUAACAGAAAAAAUAAAAAAUUUAAGGAAAAAUUAAUAUAUGAUUCCUAGUUUUUAAUGUUCAUAUAUUAACUGAGACUUUAUUAGUUUUUAGAUUUUGAUCAAAGUCUCUAGCAUUAAUGUAUUAAUAAAUUACAUGUCAGUUACAUAAUUUUUUUAAAUAAAAAUUAGUAAUUGAUUUAGGGUUUUAAAUAAAAAUUAAUUUUCAAUUCAAAAACUUUCCAAAACAUAAAAAAUAAAAUUAGAAUAAGUUUGUACCCAUUAAUGUUUUAUAAAAAAAAAAAUUCAAAUUUUCAAUCUUAUAUGUAACCAUUUAUAUAAUUCUUCUAUUUCUCUAAUCUUAAAUGUACUUAUUCUUAGAUAUACCAAUUUGUUAUCUAUAAAAUGUACCUUUUUAUAUAUAUAAAAUUCAUUCAAUCUUUUUUCUAAUUCAUUUUUUAAAUUUAUAUGGGUACAUUUUAUUUCGUUGAUUUGAUAAUGAAUUCAUGUCAAAUUUAAUAGAAGAAAUUUAAUAUGUACCCAUGUUUUGGUGCAAUAAUUUUUUUGUUAGUUUUGAUGAACAUACCCAUGUAUGUGUGUACACACACAGACACACACAGACACACACACACACACACACACACACACAAUAUAUAUUCUUUAAUAUUUUUUAUCCCAUAAAUUAUAGGUUUUAUUUAAAAUCUCAUUAAUAUAAAUAACUACAAAUUUCAUUUUUAAUUUAAAAAUAAAAUAACCUAUAUAGAAAUACAUUAUUACAUUAAUGUCAGGGAUUUCGAUAAAAAACUGAAAAUCACAAAAGUUUCAGUAAAAAAAUAUUGAUAAUUAGGGACCGCAUCCAAAGUAUUCCAAAAUUUAAUGACUGAGGCAAUAUCAGAUUCAAAAUUUAAACUUUGGCUUUUUAAUUUAAAAACCUAAAUUUUUAAAAUAGAAAUUUUAGCGUGCGAGCAAAUUUCAGUUGAUUCAUGGAGAUAUUUCAUCGAACACUUAGUGAGUUUGUUGUCGUCAGAUGAACUAUAUUACGAAUAUGUUAACAGAUAUUGACAUUUGCUAAAGCUAUAUAAUGAGUGCUAUUGAUAGCAUUCGUGGGUAGAUUUUGCUUCGUGAUCAUGGCAAAGCUUCAACAAGUUCUGAACUCAAUUGCUUUAUUAUAUUCUAUGCGUUUUCUUCAACAAAGUUAGGCUGAAAGAAUCGUUCACAUAAGAUAUUUGUCUCCUGAACAAGUCUUUCUUCCUUAAUUUUUCAAUAAUGACAAAAAAAAAGAAAAAAAAGCUACGAGAUAAUCAUACUAACUGAACAAGUUGCUCCCAUACAACAGUUAUCAGUGUUGACUCGUCAUGCGCACAAAGCUUUCGAACAACUAUAACAAAAAAGGCCCACAUUUCUCAAACUGUCUCGGAAGUUUGACUACCAUGGCGGAGAGCUUCUGCAUGCGGUUCAAGUACAACCUGCUAUGGAAGUGUUUAAAGAUUGAGAUGAAGUGGUGAUUCGUUAAGUAAAUUUUAUUUUUGUUGCAAACAUUGUUUUAAAAACUCCCAUCUAAGUGCUAUUCGGCUGACCACCACCCCGAUUAAUCCCUAAACAUUUGAAAAUAAAAAAUGGUACCUAAACCUGCCUAAGCGCCUACCUAGAUCGCCUAAGCGCCCUAGCCCACCCAAACCUACCUAGGUCGUGGCUCACUUCGAAAAUAGAUAACUUUCGUUUUGCUUUUUAUUUUUUUCAAUAAAUUGUAAAAGACUAGUCAAAUACUUAGAUUAACACAUAUUAUAUGCUUGUUCUCCAUGUUUUUAUUAUGAUUCAAUACUUUAUAAUAUGUAUGUCAUUAUAUUUUGUAGUUUAUCGUGAAAGUAUAUAUUUUUUAAGUAUAAACGUAGACACUUAUUUAUAUAAUAUAUAAUAAAUUUACUUAAAUCUGUUUUUUAUUAUGAUUCAAUACUUUAUAUAUGUCAUUAUAUUUUGUAGUUUAUCGUGAAAAUAUAUAUUUUUUAAGUAUAAACGUAGAUACUUAUUUAUAUAAUAUAUAAUAAAUUUACUUAAAUCUGUUUAAUCCUCCUAGGCCCUUGCCAAGCCGUCUAGCAUCUGACCCCAGGCCACCGCCUGGCCUAGCGUGUUUUAGAACUUUAGUUGCAAUACAUUGAGGUUCCGAUCCCCGCCCUGAAGAAGAAUGAGGUUUUGCUGAAAUUGGAAGCAGAUAGUCUCAACCAGUUGAUUGGAAAAUCAGAAAGGCGAGCUGCGGCCUCUUUUCCCCGGCAAAUUCCCUCAAAUACCUGGGAAUUCUGUUUCUCAUGUGAUUUGUGAUGUUUUUAUAAUUUUUUAUCUUCAACAUUCGUAAAUAAAACUUAUGCCAGAACACUAAAUAUAAUCUCUCAUUUGUGCUCGAUUCGUACGUGGAACACGUCCAGCGUUGUGGGUUGAUGGAUUAGUAGGAUUCUGUAACAAAAUUAUGUUGAAGGAUGAGUUGUUUUGGGAAUUUAAGCAUUCAAUGUCUUUGAGCUCUAGGCUGCUAUCUGUAGUGCAAAAUCUUUAGUGUAGACGGUUUUUAAUUCUCCUCUCUCUCUCACAUGACAUGACCAGCAACUGAUGUGGCCGGAGAGGUUGUAGAAGUUGGACAAGGUGCCAAAAAGUUCAAAUUCGGUGACAAAGUUGUUGUACUGCUCCGCCAUUUCGUAAGUGCUCGAUCGACUUAUUCCCCUUUUCUCUAUGAGCUACUUGUUUAUGCUUAGGAUUUUCACAUGUAAAAUUCAUGUGUUUGAUAGAGUGGAGGAGGACUGGCUGAGUUUGCUGCAACUAAUGAGAGAUUAAUGGUUGCUAGGCCACCUGAAGUUUCAGCUGCCGAUGGCGCAUGCCUACCGGUUGCCGGUCUCACAGCUCCCCAGGCUCUCGCCCAAUGUGGGGUCAAGCUUGACGGAACUGGUCAAAAUAAAUAACAUAUUGAUCACUGCUGCCUCUGGUGGCGUGGGGCACUAUGCAGUCCAACUAGCAAAGCUUGGGAUACUAACGUUACAGCCACAUGCGGGGCGUGUAACAUCGAAUUGGUCAAGAGCUUAGGGGCAGAUGAGGUUCUUGAAUACAGGACUGCGGAUGGGGCAGCUCUAAAGAGCCCAUCUGGACGAAAAUAUGAUUUUGUAAUCGACUGUGGAAAAGGCAUUCCUUGGUCAACUUUUGAGUCUAAUUUGAAUGCAAAAGGGAAGGUUGUAGACAUUUCUCCGAUGUGAGUUCUUUAGCUACUUUUGUAAUGAAGAAACAGCAGGUGCCACUGCUCAUGAUUCCCAAGGAUGUGAACCUAGAGUAUCUUGUUAAGUUGGUGAAGGAAGGGAAGCUGAAGCCAGUGAUUGACUCGAUGCAUCCUCUGAGCCAGGUUGAAGAUGCUUGGCUUAAGAGUAUCGAUGGCCAUGCUACUGGGAAUAUCAUUUUAAGCUUAGCUGAAGCAUUUAGUUGAACAUUUCCAAACAAAGAUCAUGCCUUUCAAUACCAACAAUUAUACAACUAAUCGCGGUUUGUCUGUCAUAUCAACGCAAACAGAGCAGACAGAAAGUAACUGGAACCCAAAUGAAAAGGACAAGGAUUGUCUGCCCUCCUCGUUCCCGUGCCCUCCUGUUUUGUGUGAUCACGGUAAAACCACGUCAACAUUUUAUAUUGUUUUUUUUAUAGAGAUAAUAAGACAAAAAUGAAUAGUAAUAUAAAAUGUUGACGUGAGUUAACCGUGACCACACAAACAGGAGGGCAUGUGAGGGCAUGGAAACAAAGAGGGCAGACAAUUCUUGUCCAAAUGAAAAACCUCGAAACAUUUUGGUCUCCCAAGUUAAAAUUUUGUUAGGCCACAAUAUAAAGUCUCGUUGCACUUGCAAGAAGCAAGAUCAAAGCCUUUUCCUUUGAUUAUUUCAAUCUUACAAACAACUCUGCAAGUCAAAUUUUUUAAUUUCCUGCCCCCAUAAUCUUGUUCAAAUCUUCGAACGUAAGAAACCAACUUAAAAGCCUAAUUCCCUACAUCAAUUCCAAUCCUAAACAUGAAAAUACAAACUUAAAAACUAUCGAUAUACCCUAAAAAGAACCAAAUUUUAGAAUGUAAUCGUAUCAGUUUAUAGUAUUUUAUUAAAGCACAACAAUCAACUCCACUCAUCUAUCUAACCCUGGUUCCACUGUAACGAGUGCAUUUUCGAUCACCACCCUUGAGAACUCCCGUUGAUUUCUUUUCUUAUGUCUGUACUUUCCUGCUGUUUAUGAUUCAUUGUUAUUACUCUGCGCAAAAUUGUUAAUUUUUUCAAAGUACUCAAAGUAUUAGCAUUAACUUACCAAAAUUUGAAAGUAACUGUUGUGGCCUAUUUAACUGAAGGGGAAUAGGGGGUGAAUAGGGGGUGAGGCAAGAGAGAGUAUGGAGAGAGUGUAAUGAUUUAUUAUGUGAAUGUUACUCCCUCUGCAGUGUCUUUAUUUAUAGUCGAGAAUAAGGAGAGGAUUAACUUGUCCUUCAAGUAAAUACAAUCCUAUAGGAAAAGUAUAACUAGCAACCAAAUGUAUCUAGGAUUUUUCAAUCCAAGAAUAUCUAUGACUUGCGAUUUUAUUUGUAAAACACUGCAAUUCAAAACAAAGCAUGGCCAAAACUAAGGCUCCACAAUUAUCUUUCCGGUAGCAUGGCCAUCGCUGAUCCUAUCCCAAGCGUCCUCCGCCUUGGCCAGGGGAUACUUUGAGUCAAUUAUAGUCUUCAGCUUCGCUUCUUUCACCAACUUAAUAAGAUACUCAAGGUUAUCAGCCUUGGGAAAUAAGAACAGUGGCACCAGUUGCUUCUUAGAAAAGGUAAGUUUCUUCAGUGCAACGCUAAACAGAGAGCUGGGGGUGGGAGUAACAUCUAUUACCUUACCGUUCGCACUCAAAUUAGGCUCAAAAGUUGACCAAGGAAUGCAUGUUGCACAGUGGAUCACAACAUCAUAUUUUCGACCAGAUGGACUCCUAAGAGCUGCACCUUCUGGGGUCUUGUAGUCAAUAACCUCAUCAGCCCCUAGGCUUUUGACCAGUUCAAUGUUGCGGGCACCACAAGUGGCUGUAAUAUGAGUAUUUCCGAGCUUUGCCAACUGAACCGCGUAGAGACCUACACCACCUGAAGCAGCUGUGAUCAGGAUGUUUGCUUGCUGACCACUUCCAUCAAGCUUGAUCCCAGCAGUUUGUGUAAGAGCCUGGUGAGCUGUGAGACCAGCAACGGGUAAUCCUACAGCGGUGGCUGCAGAAACUUCCGGUGGCCUUGCAACAGUUAAACUCUCCAUUGUCACGGCAAAUUCAGCUAGUCCACCUCCAGUCUUUGAUUCAUUGUCGAAGAACAGAAUGAGACAAAAAGGGUCAUGGUAUGUAUCAAUGAAUGAUGCAUCAGAUAUCUAGGUGACACAUUCUGUCACUGGGUUUGCAUAUUAAGCACACCAAAAGUGGUUUUUACAUGCAAUAGUUCAGUCUCAUGCCGACUGGAAUGACACUAGGGAAAGAGGCACACAAAGUCGAUGAAGGGUUAACGAGGGUUUACAAAUACAACAAUUCAGAUUGGAACAAAUGGAUUCAACUUUUCAAAUUAGUAGAUACUUAUUCAGGUAUCAUUGAUGAAAAUAAUAGUUCUAAAUUAAGUUAAAUCCAUCAAUAUGCAUGUUUCCUAGAUGUAUGUGGAGCCUAAAAGAUGCUAUUUCCAAAACAUGAUAUGGAAGCUUAAUUCCCUUUUUCUGAAUUAUGUUAUCCUUUCAGUUAAAUUUUACUUCCGCCGAAAACGAAGACUAAAUUUGAAGAAUUUCAAGUGAAACAGAGAAAAUGAGCUAGUAUAUAAGGGAACUUACAAGAGUGUUAACCUUCCCAACAACUUUGUCACCAGGUUUGAAUUUUUUUACUCCAGGUCCUACCUUUACAACCUCUCCUGCCACAUCAAUACCU